rnacentral:lncRNA from 1 species
CUUUUUCUUUUUCUAUUUUUACCUUAUUUGAUCUUUUGCAGAGCCCAGAUGGAGAUAUCAUCGACUGUGUUCUUAUGAACAAGCAACUAGCUCUUGAUCAUCCUCUUCUAAAAAAUCACAAAAUUCAGGUUCACUUUUUUUUUUUUUUAGAAAAAAACUUAUGUUUAAUUGCCGUAACUGCUUUGCUUUUACUUUGCUAACCUAGAGUUGCAAUGUAUUGUUUGCAAAUUGAAAACUGAAACUAUCACAUCCUAAAUAUUCCAUAUUGAAUGCUAAAAAACAUUAUAUGAAAUAUAAAUCCUUAAACUCUAAUAAUAAUAAAUAAACUUAAUUAAAACACUUUUUUGUCGUAUUCAGCAUUUCAUAACUAAUCGAUCAUAGGCAAAUUGUUGGAAGCGUGAUUUUCUCUCGUGAACCUACUUGUUGGAAACGUAUUUUUCUCUCUGCUAACCUAAUUAUCUAAACCUGUACUUGCUUGAUACCGAUAUGAAAUCAAAGAAUAGAAAAAUAAAAGAACAAAAUAAUAUGAGAACAUUGGAAAUUCGAGAAGAAAUAACUUAAACUAAUGAGCAAUUAAUUACAUCGACAAUACAAUCGCAUGCCAUGUGCUACUAUAUACUUAUUUCUCAUAAUAACAUCCAUGCCCUAACUAUAUAUAGCCAUCAAAUUAUAACAAAUGAUAAAUCUUAAUUUUACUUUGGAUAACUAUAUAUCAUAAUAAUUGAAUCAAGAUAAAAAAAUGGUAAACUAAUUGUAAGCUAUUAUUUAAUUAAAUUGGAUAUUAUUUUCCAACACAAUUCAAUAUUAUUCUCCUAACAAAUACGCACGCAAUUUCAUUUUCGCGAACAUGUCAGAAAGUCACUAAGAGCCGGCUCACGGUCCAAAGCUCCCCGGUACAAACCAAACGACCGAGAAAUGGCAACACGAAAUGGCUGGCAGGCUAUGGAACCAUGCGAAACUGUUGCCCCGAAGGAACAUGCGUGCGAGACAACAGUGGAGGAUGUCUUGGCGCAGCCGUUGAUCCUCUUUCUCGCUUCGGCAAAGAAAAAAGUUCAUUAACGAACUUGAUUGGCGCGCCUUAACACGGGCCAUGAGUAUAGUAAAUAGAGCCUAACGCUAUAGAUUCAAUAACUUUUCACUUGGUAUAUAUAAAUUAACUUCGUUUUUCCCAAGAAAAUUUAAACUGCCAAAUAUAGUACUUAAAUUCCUAGCCUUUAAAAUUUUAAUUUUGCCUGUAUUGAACGAAUUAAUAUAUAUAAUAUUAUAAUAUAUAUAUAUAAUAUAUAUAUAUAUAUAUAUUAAUAUAUAUAUAUAUAUUGCAGAUAAUGCAACAUAAGUCGACACAAGCGUAUGGGAUCUCAAGACCAUGAUCAAAUGUUUGGGAACCAUCAAGUGCUUAGAUCGAAAAAAUAGCGAUUCAGCCUUUCCCAGAUCUGGCUUUCCGCAGGAUCGUAGCGAGGCGCAAGACUCCAAACACCGUCGAGGUCUAUGGUUCGUCGGGCGGGGGGGUGAAUGUUCUAUUGUAAGAUGAUGCAGGUUAAUACAUAUUGCAUGCUAAAAUUACUAUAAGCAUUUCUCUGCAUAAAAUAUAUAUAUAUAUAUAUUCAAAAUACUUAAAUUCAAUUAUUCAAAAUGCUUAAGUCAAAUUAUUAUUACAAAAGCAUCUGAUUCUUAUAUUUCUAAUUAUAAUUUUUUUUUCAUUUGAUAUAGAACUAUUGGAACGUCACAAGUCCCGUAAUAAUUUAAUUAUUUUGUAUCUGUUGGUGUUUGAAAUUAGAAAAAUUCUGCAUUCGCACUCCCAUCCUAAGGUUUACAAAAAAAUUUAGUAUUUUUUAAAAAAUUAACAAGACAUGAGGUUAUUCUUGGCCCUUUAAUGGAGGGCGUAAAAAUAUACACUCUUUUUGUGAUGUACCAUUAGCAGGGCUCUUAAAUAAUAUUUUUGAGGGUAUCUAUUAAAAUAAAUUUAUAAGUUGAAUCUCUAGUCUUAAUCCCUUCUUUUUCCCAAUAUUCAUUUGAAUUGUUAAAGUUAAUGGACUAUUAACCAUGAAUUCCAUUUUAUUCAUGCAAAAUUUUUGGAGGCAUGAAGCGUGAUAAAUUCUCUAAGGCUUUUUUUUAAUAAUUGAUUAGGUUUACCCUGAAUUUUAUGGAGACAGCACAACCAGGCUAUUCAUCUACUGGACGGUGAGAUCUCUCUCGAAAAACUAUUAUAAACAAAUAAUUAUUUUUUCCCAUAUACUUUUAAUUAAGGGCAUAUAUAUUUACAAGCACUAUAUAAGUUAUUUCAAAAUUAAAAUUAAUUUUACUUUUCCACAAUCAUCUCAAAAUUAAUCUCGGCCAAUUAAUAAAGCCAAUUUGUUUGCCAACAACAUAUAUAGAAUAAUCUAGAUUAGUUGAAUUAGAAAGUAUGUUGAAUCCUCUCAAUUAAUUUUUGGUUAAGGAAUUCCACGUUCUACUUUUCUUAGUUGCUCAAUUUUCACCAUUUACUUUGUGCCCAAUCGGUAUGCUAGAGAAUAUGACAAUAAUGAAAUUUAGAUCUUGGAUAUAUACUUUCAAACGUCUUUUAUGUACGGUCAAUUAGGAAGCCUUUUAUGUAGUAUUACAAAAUAGGGUUAACUUCCUUAAUUUGUACCCCCACAAAACUAUGAAAUAUUAUAAAUACCCUUCAAAUUUUUAAAAUUUCACAAAUACCCUCUGGCACCGUUUGGUUUGGGAAUAGGGAUAGGAAUAGGCCCUUAUCCCCCCUUUAUACCCAAACGCUAAUUUUUUACCCGAGAAUAGUAGUUCUCGGUUAUCCCCACCAACACCUUCAUUUUCUAUAUAAAAUUUUCUAAUAUUUUUCUUAUUCUCGGGAACAACCCAAUUUUCAUCCAAACGCUAUUUUUCUUAUUCUCAUACUUGUACCUAUCCCUGUAAUAGCUAGUUCUUGCUUAUACCCGAACCAAACGGUACCUCUAAAUACAAUAUUUUUUUCAUAAAUGCUCUUACCGUUACUUUUUUGUUAACUUCCGUUAACUUAGCAUUUUUUUACUUUACUUUAAAAUAUGAAAUUACCACUUUGCCCUUUGUUCACUAUUUCUUUAGAGGGAUAAUUUCAUUCAUACUCCUGAAAAGAUCAAGAUUAUAAUAAAAACCCCUACACAAUUUGAAAUAUCAAAAAUAACCCUAUGAAUAUUUACUUUGUUUUAAAAACAUUUCAAGAUAUACUAUCAUUAGUUGGGCGUUUUAAUCUUAGUUACACUAUAGUAUAACGAAGGUUAAGAAUAAAAUUAUCUAUUUUAUCCCUAAAUAUUAAAAAUUGGUGAGGGGUAGACAAAUGUAUGCUAGCCCAUUUCUUUUUUAAAUUUUUAUCCAUUCAAAUUUUAUUUAUUUUGAUUUCAAAUAUUUUAAUCAAUUAAAUAUAGAAAUUCAAUUAAUUAGUUAAUUAGCUAUUAAUUAAAUUUUGCUAUUUUCAAAUAAAAAUUAGUUAAAGUUAUUAAAUUUGAUGGAAUAAUUAUCUUACGUACUUUGUGAAAUUUUUAUUAAUUAAAAUUUCAUGUUUUCAAUUUAUUAUUUCAAACUAUUAUUGGUUCAUGUAAUGUCCAUUGAUUAUAAAAAUUUAGUCGGUCUUUUCAUAAUAUAACUAAUGUUUUAUCUAGAUAGAGUUUAGUUAAUUUUCAAAUAUAAUAGGGGGUAUUUAUGAAAUAAAAUCAGCAAUUGACCAUUAUAUAUAAAGAGGGGUAAAUUGAAAUUUAAAUAUUAUUAACUUCAAUUGGAUGGGCACUUAAUGGUAGGUUUAUUUUUGAAAGUUUUUUAAAUUUAGGAGGAUAUACAUGAUAUUUCAAUUUUUAGAUGGAUAUUUAUGAAAUUAGAUAGUUUUAGAAGGGUAUUGAGUAAAUUUUCCCUACAAAAUAAGACUAGGGUUCUCAUGUACUUCUCUUCAAUUAUAUGUACUUGCCCUCGAAAAUAUAUUGCUGCAGUACUGCAAGCAACUCUUGCAAUGUUGCAAGUUCUUUUCCACUGCAUUUGUCACAAUGAAUCCAUGAUUUAAUACUUCUUGGCGAGAAUAUUAUAUAGCACUUGUGAUCUGCGACAGAGGGACGCAUAUAACACUACGGGGUGCUACAACUUGUGGUGCCCAGGAUUUGUGCAAACAAACAACCAAGUAGUCCUCGGAGGAACGAUAGCCCCGCCUCUAUCGACGUACGAUGCCUACCAACGUGAAAUUACUCUUCUUGUGUGGAAGGUAUAUAUAGAUCAUCUCGCAAUACUAACGUAAUUAAGCUCCAUUAUUACUUUGGAAAGAAGCAACAAAUUAACAUAAUAUUUAACCUCAAAAAGCACUACAUACGUACUUUCGAAAGCAUCACACUAGUAGUUAAAUUUGCACUUUUUCGCUCGUACGUGCCUGGAGAUCCAAGCACACUGUAUUACUAGGCAUGCAGAAUGUACGUGCUGAAUCUCAAAGCAAAUCCUGCUUGCGAAAAAUUGAAAGCAUAGUUUAAUUAAUUUCAUGAUGUAAACUAUUUAUUCAUACUGACAUAUUUACAGGAUGCAAGUACUGGCAAUUGGUGGCUUAGCUAUGACAAUAUUGAUGUUGGUUACUGGCCAGCUGCGAUCUUCACGCAACUCGUGAGCUACGCCACUUCGGUGCAAUGGGGUGGAGAGAUCGUGAACAAUGACGUCAAUGGGCAACACACGACGACCCAGAUGGGUUCGGGCCACUUUGCGGAGGAAGGGUACCAAAAGGCCAGCUACUUUCGCAACGUUGAGGUUGUCAACUCUGCGAACGGUCUCUACUCACCGUCCAUCUCCCCUUCGGAGACCAACGCCAAUUGCUACGAUAUCGCGAUCUCCUCCACUACUGACUGGGGGACUUAUUUCUACUAUGGUGGGCCGGGCAGAAACCCUAAGUGCCCUUAACGUGAGAAUUCAAAAUACUGCAUACACUCCCCCACUAAAAAAUGUUAUAGUAUAAAUAAGAGGAGUGAUUUGGUUAUGUAUUACUGAUGAGUCAUAAAAGUGAUCACAAAUCUGCUAUACUAUAUACGCUGUAUUUGAUAUAUUGUAAUAAAAUUUAUCUAAAACAUGAAUCCCAAACUCCUUAUAAUUAAUUAGGUUGAAUUUGUAAGAUCCGCUAGCAAUAAUAAUUUGCAAAAUGUUUAAAACUAGUUAUUAUUACUAGUGUGUUCGUCACUUAUAAAGCCCCGUUUAGGCCUUGACACCCUUCUCAACCCGGCCCAAUCAUACACAUAACUCCAGAUUUACCAGGCGCUAGUUAUCAGGCUCUGAUACCAAAUGUAAUGAUCUGACUCGCUGGCAAUAAUAACUCUUUAGGUCUAAACCACCAAUCCAAAAUACUAAAACACAAUUAUUAUUACUAGUGCGUCCGUUAUUUAUAAACUUAUCAUAUACUUCCACAUUAUCCGGCAUGGAACUGUUGGGGUAUCAUAGAAUCUCCAAAUUUUUGUCACAUAGGAUAUAAUUGCUAGCUACUCCAGGGCCCAAGUGUCGUCUAAUGUUAACAAUUAAUCACAUAAUAUCUUAUGUUCCUUAGUUGGCAAAAAGAAUUAAAAAGAAGCAACACCACAUUUAAUUUGACUCUUCGAGGUAGGAACCUUGUAAGUGCCAACUAAUCUAUAAUGUAGUUUUCGCCAACAUAGUUACAUGAUUAUUUUUGUAGAGAUGGUACGUCGUUGGAGUUAUCAUAUUUGGUUGGAAUCGAAAUGGUAUACAAUUAUUUUCUCAAAGAGAGAGAGAAUUGUUGGAGAAAUAAAUUAUUGCCUGCACCUGGUGCAUUCAUGCACCUUGCACACCAUUUUUAAUCAACCAACAUUCAAGCUUAUAUAUACACCGACCGUCCCUAGAGCAAGUGGCAAAGGGCUUUAUGGAAUUGGUAUACCCGAGACCCAAGUUCGAAUCUUAGUUGAUUCACAUUUCCAGCUAAGUUUAUUUUUAAAUGAAAUAAACGAAGCGGGUAGCGUGUUAUCUAUCUCUCCAAAAAAACAUUCAAGCUUAUACUUUAAUCUCAUCACUCCAACAGGUGAAGUCAUUUGUAUGUGUGAAUGUAUAUGAUGAUGUGAUGAUGUAUAUGGGUUGGUAUAGAUAGGGUGAAUACAAAAUGGACAAAUAAAUGUACUAGGCGUGCCCCAUAAUUAUUUACACAAAGAGAAUGGUGCAUAAUUAAUUAUUAUUGACCAGUACAUAAUAUUCUUUUUCUCUUGAUGAAGAAUAAACAAUUAAUUAAUAUUUUUGGUCCAAAGAUUAUCGAAGAAUAUGAAGGAUAAAUUGCUUGUCGAUCAUAAAUUGUAAUGCGCCUCUCAACUGCUUUUCUAAGCACCAAAAAUGCACUCUUCUUUUCUUCCCUAUAUCGCUUCUCUAAUUGCUCUACUACUCUACUACUAAUCUUGAUCAUCUGCAAUGAAAGUCUCAUUCUCGAAUACGACUAACACGAAGAGCAUAUCACCUUUUAGUACGUAUCACGCCUCAUAAUUUGGCGAGAAUUCGAAGGUUCUUGGAGAAGAUAAAUAAAUCCGGAGUAGAAACCAUAGGUGUAAGACUAUAUACAAAGUGUCGGAUCUUUGGCGCUAAUUAUUUAGCUGGAAAUGUGAAUCAACUAGAAUUCGAACUUGGGUCUCAGGUACCAACCACCAAGCCCUUUGCCACUUGUUCUAGGGACGGUCGGUUAUCGUUUGCGCUAAUUAUUAAUUCCAAACUCUCCGGUUAUUAGAAAUACGCGACCAAUUCAUUUAAAUAGGCGUGUUCAUUUUGGCUUCCGAGCGAGAACGAGAAAGAGGCGAUGCACCAUCAUAUAGGCACAGUACCUACAGGUCUCUAUUGUGACUCAGUCCAAUCAACCUUACGUCACUUCAAACAUGACUCGAUUCAAUCCGACCUUCCGCCAUUUCGAAAAUGACUCAGCCCAACCUGGCUUUUUGUCACAUAACAGAUGCUGACUCUUUAAUUAACCAAAAAUCUCCUUUCUAGUUUCUGCAUAAAUUUGCAGCAUGCGUUGCUCUGAUACCACUCAUCGGAUCGUUGAUACUAGCCAUUAAUCCCAAAAUGCUCGAACUAUUAGAAAUACACAACUAAUUUUCUUAAAACGUACAGCGUCCACGGAUCUCGAUUGUGACUCAAUCCAAACAGCCUUAUGCUACUUCGAAUAUGACUCGACUCAAUCCUAUUUUCACUACAACAAAAACGGUCUAUAGCGACACUUUUAAAUGUAGGUACAUGUCAAAAAAGUGCUGCUAGCUAAAAUUACCGACACUUUUAAAAAGUGUUGCUAUAUGUGGGGUCGCUAGGUAUAUAGUGACAGUUAAAGAGUGUCGCUAUAACCUAAAAGAGUGCUACUAAUUUACCAACAACUUAUUUAAGCAUUUAGCAACCGCCGAAACUCUAUCUCGUUGGCUGCGGUGGCGGAGGAUGACGACAGGAAUGGCUCUUCGUCUAGAAUUUCAGUGGAUUGAGUAAAAAGAGAAGAAAAUAUGGUAAUUAAUUUUUCUUUUUUUUUUUCUUUUCUGUUUGUAAUCAGGCCAAAUGGACUGGAUGUGGUGGGUUGAGUAAAGUAAUCUUUUAUUUUUGAUUGGAUUGGGCUUUAUAUUUAGGCAUUAGUAGAUGUUUUUUUAAAUUUUAGCAUAAAUGGGACACUUACUCAAAAGUGUCCCAAAUAUGUGUCCCUAUAACCUAAUUCUGUUGUAGUGUUUCCGCCAUUUCGAAUGUGACUCGGUCUAAUCUGAUCUCCUGUCACAGGGCAAGAUGCUAACGUUUUUAAGCCAACACAAAGUUUGAUAAUUUAAAAUUAUUCUGCAUUAAUUUUUUUUAUUUCUUUAUUUGUUGUGUAGAGUCCGGAUGGAGGUGUCAUCCAUUGCAUUCAUAUACACGAGCAACCAGCUCUUGAUAAUCCUCCUUUGAAGGAUCAUAUAAGAUUAAGGGUGUACUAUCAUUCUUCUCGUCCUAUAAUUAUUGUCCUAUAGUGUAGAAAAGUUCAGAUGCAUAUUAACAAAAGUGCAAUAUUUUUAGUGGGUUGUGUGCCGUAGUCUUGUAAACUAAUAUAGUAAUCCAUGCAAUGCGACGGGUAGAUAACUGAAAAGAAAAAAAAAGGCAAUGAAAGGAGUGACGAUGAGGGAUGAAAUUCAUCUUGUCAAUGAAGAAAGAUAAAAAUAGAAGGAAAAAAAAAGGUACAGUUAAGCCCACUGCAGAGGCAUGAGCCGGUUCCGCUCAAGCAAAAAACGGAAAACUCAGUUCAGUUCAAGCAAAAAGAAGAAAACUUGAGCCGGUACGGGGUGGAGUCCACACUCGACAAUGAUUGGUUCGGUUUAAGGAAAAAAAGAGAAAAAUUCGUUCAAAGAUGAAAAUAUGUGGAAUAAUUGGGCCGGUUGGGCCCAAUGCAACGAUUGAUCUGGCUCGGUUCAAGUAAAGAAAGAGAAAAAUAAGUGGAAGACUUGAGUCGAUUUGGAGAAGCUCACACUCAAUAAUGCUCGGUAUUGUUCAAGUAAAAAAACAAAAAAAGAAUCUGAUUCGGUUCAAGCCAAAAAAAAAAAAAAACAUGUGGAGGACUUGAGCCAAUUCCACACUCAAUAAUGAAAAAAAUAUUACUAUGUGAUAAAUUUAGAAGGAAUAAUAUGUAGAUAUAUAGUCUAGACACCUCAAUCUCUAUUAAUUAAAAAACUGGUGAAAUACCCGCUUGAUGCUGCGGAUUUAAAAUUUUUUUAAUAAAUUUUAGUUUUUUAUAUUUUUAAACAAUUUUAUAAGUCUAAUUAUUAAUUAAAUAAAAGUUAUAUAAAAAUAAUUUAAUAGUUAAUUUUAUUUAAAUAAAAUUAACUAUUAAAUUAUUUUUAUAUAACUUUUAUUUAAUUAAUAAUUAGACUUAUAAAAUUGUUUAAAAAUAUAAAAAACUAAAAUUUAUUAAAAUGACAACUUAUUUUAUAAAGAUUUAUGCGAAAAAAGAUUUGAGAUAAAUAUAUCAAAAUAAUUUUAAAAAAAUAAAUAGAAGGGAAAUAAAAUAAUGGAAGAAUUUGUUUAAUAAAAUUAAUUAUAUAUAUACACACACGCACUAUAUUUCUAAAAUCUUACUCCUCAAAUUUACAUUAUGUAUUUUUUUAUACAUCGAUCAAAUUAGAUUUUAUUAUGCGAUUUAUUACGUGUAUUAUUAAUAAUAUUAAUUAAUUAUAUUAUAUACAAUGAAUUUAUUAAUAAAAUUAAUUAUAUAUAUACACACACGCACUAUAUUUCUAAAAUCUUACUCCUCAAAUUUACAUUAUGUAUUUUUUUAUACAUCGAUCAAAUUAGAUUUUAUUAUGCGAUUUAUUACGUGUAUUAUUAAUAAUAUUAAUUAAUUAUAUUAUAUACAAUGAAUUUAUUAAUAAAAUUAAUUAAUUAAUUUCAUAGAGUUUAGAGAUUUAAAUUUUUAAAUUUUGAAGUUUAAAAUUUGAAAAUAAAUAUUAUAAAUUAAAUUUAAAAUUUAAAAUUUAAAAUUUAAAAUUUAAAAUUUAAAAUUUAAAAUUUAAAAUUUAAAAUUUAAAAUUUAAAAUUUAAAAUUUAAAAUUUAAAAUUUUGAUAUAUAUAUAUAUAUCUUAUUAAUAUAUAGAGGGGGAGAGAGAGUAAAGGGAGGUUUGGGGAGACACGUGUCACCCCAACGUCCUCCCAAACCCUCUUUUAAUGUAGAGAAAAAUAGAUGUUAUCCAUGCUCCUUUAAAAGGAGGAAGUUUUCCUCCCUUUUGUCUUUCCUAAAAUAACCGUGAAAUAUAAUGUCGAAAAUGAUAUUAUGAUCUUAUCUGUUCGAUUUGAGUUAUAUUUGUGGUAGCUCUUUUUUAACUUGAAUCUGUAUAUGUCUAAGAUGCACACUCGAGAUCUUUAUUAUGGGACUAAGGCCCAUAAUACAUGUAUGGGAACCGUCAAUCCAAAUCUCCAUUGAGUUUAGCCUUUCUCAAAUAUGGAUCAUGGCAGGAUCGUAUGUCUCAAUACAAUUAAAGCGAGAUGGCUAAUAAACAGUUGAUGCCUGUAAAAUAAAAAAAAAAAAAAAAAAAAAAAAAAAAAACUUAAGCUGUUAAAAAGUUUUUUUAGACCGUCAAUUGAAGAAGUGACUGUUUGAGGUGCUUUUUUUUUUUUUUUUUUUAAACAUCUAGCCUAUUCGCGCUGGAGGGCCGAGUUGGGCCAGAAGCCUAGGAGAUCUGGCUCGGCCCAGUUUGUUUUGGCCCGGGUGAAUAUGGGACAGUGUCAGACCAGCACGACACACAUUACACUCUAGGGACUGGAUCAUGCUAAGGGGAAACUAGGAACGGAUACAGCAAAGAAGUGGGAAACGUUCCAGAGAAGUUCCACCUCAACGCCACCUAUCAUGUACCCGACAAUUUAUUGCAAUAGAUAUAUAUCUCGCUUCUUCAACUCAUCUUUCACCUCCAAUAUCUUCAUGUUUGAUAUAUUUCCAUUUAUAAGGUCUCUAAUAACUUCAUUUUGGUGUUUUUUUUUUAGCUUUUUCUCUUUUAGGUCUCUGCCUUUAGAUAUCUGAUUCCAAAACUCUCUCUCCGACUAUCUACGUAUUAACUCCAGGCUAGAAUAUGAAUUUUGAAUUUAAAUUUGCACAAGAGUUUGAAAUGUCGGUCUCAUGGUCAGUGUUUGCAUACUUAGUUGUAAGAUUACUAAUAGUUUGGUUGACCAGUUAAUUUGGUUAGCAAAUGCUAAUUCUAGUAUAUUCUUUUCACAAUAAUUUAAAAAACAAAAAUGAUAAAAUUAUAUGGGGUACUCCUUAAUUAUAAGCCAUUAUACUCACCUAAUUUUUAUUUUCUAAAUCACUAAUUCAAGUUGAUUAAAUUGUAACUAAUUAUUUUUUUGAGUAAAAUAAAAUUGGGACACUAGUACCCUUUCAAUUACCAACAAAAAUAAUUUAACUAACAUACCAGAAAUGGAAAUUUAUCACAAUUUUUUACAAACCGACACGUUUCUCAUUCUCGCUCAGAUGUGUCGUAUGUUAUAAGGGGAGGGGAAACGCGUUUCCCAUCCCUUGCGCACGAGGGAGGAGCCCCACACGCUUACUAAAACUAAAACCUCGCCCCGUUCCCCUCCCUCUCCGAGAUUUUAAACCAAAACCCUCGCCAUUAACCUUCGAUUCCCCCUGAAUUUAAUCGUAGAUUCACGCACAGGAGAAGAGAUUUUCGAUCCAAACCCUACAUAUCCUCUUCCCCAUUCUCCUCAAACCGUCUCUUCGAUCUCGAUUCGAGCAUCGGAAGAGGGGAAAUUGGUCCCCCAUUUGACGGAUCCGGUGAGUUUGGCUCCGGCUAGGGUUUUGAGAGCUCGUCGUCUUCAUCCUCCCACGAUUUCCGCACCAAUGUGGUCAGCUAGGGUUUUGUGGUGGUGGUAAUGGAGGUGCUGAGUGGAGACGAUGGGCGGUGGUGUAAUGCUUCUGCUCGCGCUUCUCCAUUUGAGCUCUCUUUGUUUUGGUAUAUUUCUUAUGCCCUACCUGCAGCUUGAUUCAUCUUGCAUUGCUUAAGAACUUUGGUUCUCGUUGGGUUCUAGCUGAUCUUAGCUUUGUUUCUGUUUGUGGGCGUAAUCAUAGCUCCCGACUAGUGUUUCGUGUUGGAAUUAGAGGAGAUUGAGCAUAAAAGGAUGGAUUUUGUGGUUUCCAGCAGAUUGUCAGAAUAAAAUAGUUAGUUGUAGCUGAUAGUUGAAUUAUUUUGUUUUUUCCCUUUGUUGGAGUUAAUAAGUUACUUCUAUUUUAAUCAUUAUUUAUUAUCAGUAGAAGGUAUUUAAUAGUAAAGGGUAAGAAUAUAUGAGGAGGUAGGUUGUGCCAAUCCAGUUUUAAUAGCAUACGUACGUUGUUCAUAUGUGUGCUCUUGGAUGCAAUGACCGAUCAUAAUCUGAUCGAUUUUGUGGUUGACUUCCUAUAUAUUUGGUGGUUACACUGGCGAUAUUAAUGGAAAACGAAUCCAUAACUGUAUUUCGGAUCAAUGGCUAUUAGUGGUUUGCUUUCUAAGAGGGAUAUUAAUGGAAAACGAAUGUAGGAGCAAUCAAGCAAAUGGCACCAAGUGUUCAUGAUCUAAUGGGACUAGGGCCAAGAAAUUGAAAAUUUAUCUCGAAAGCUACGCAAAUAAGUUGAGUGUGUCUCUCGAAGGAAAUCACAUGUACCAAUCACAUAAUCUUAGUUACUAUAUGCAUGUAGGUAUGCACAAAUGCAUGCAGGUACAAUGCACGAGAACAUAUUUGUCUGUACUAUUAUCAUUUAAGCACAUAAUGAAAGAUAUUGAGAAUUGAACAUGUCAAACACCGUUGCUGCUAUUAGAUUGCACUUACAGGAAAGACUGCAUUAGAAACUUUUGUUGGAAGAUAACUCCUCCAAGCAUGUGGAGUCCCGCUUUAUUAUGCCAUUUGUAACCGAAAAGCCCAUAUAGGGCAAGUUAGCCAAGCCGAUCUUUAGAACAUGAAGCAUGGGUCCAUGCUCGGUUAUAACUACCUCAUUGACAUUUUAUAGGUCGGAGGUUGUCCGCACUGGAGGUACAUGAUUGACUUGGAAUUUUCUAUCCAUUUCCUCUCCUAUGUUGAUAUGUGCUAGCACCACUGUAUGUUUUGCAACUUGUUUAAUAUUCUUUAUCUGCUUUUCUCAUUUAUUGAAAUGUAUAUCAAGGUUUGCCAUGGCAUACUGCAGCAAGAGUGACACCAACUCCAUCAUCUAGUCCAUCCAUCCCUCCUGAAAUUAUGCCUUCCGGACCAAGACCUGCCCCUGCAUAUUCUCCAACUCAUCCAGGUAUUGACAAGCUCCAGCCUCGAUAAUUUUCUGCAUUUUUUGUAUUUCUUUAAGUGCUUCGUUGUUCUUAUCUCUUCCAGGCCCCAGAGCUAAUCCUCCUCUGCCAAAUCAUCGAAAGCGGAUGCCCCAUGUCAUCCCAUCACCCUCAUUCAUACCACCACAAGGUUUGAGAGUUUCCGUUCAUGUUUUUUAAUUUCUCAUAUUUCUCCACAUAGUUUAACAAAAUCACUUUUGUUGCUGCAAUCAUGUUCAGCAGGUUGUGAGGGAAUUCUUUGCUCUGACCCACUCACCUCAAGUCCGCUUGGUUCUCCCUGUGGUUGUGUAUUACCAAUUAAAGUCAUCAUUGAUCUUGGGAUAGCUCCAUAUCUACUAUUUAUGCGUAUAGCAGAAUUAGAGGUUGAGGUCGCUGAUGGCACGUUCCUAAAGCAAAGCCAGGUGAAAAUCAUGGCUGCUGUUCCAAGUAUCCAGGAUCAACAAAAGACAAGAAUCACUAUAUAUUUGGUGCCUCUUGGGCAAAAGUUUGAUAAUACAACUGCUUUACUAAUUUACGAGAGGGUAUGUCAUCAGAAGAUGCCGCUGAAUAUGUCCAUUUUUGGUGAUUAUGAAGUAUUAUAUGUUCACUAUCCAGGUAGUUUUUCAUACCUUUUUUCCUUUUUGCUGACUAUCAGCUACAUGUAUCUGUUAUAAUCAGCAUCCAUCGUUGUUGCUGCAGGACUUCCUUCCUCUCCAACAUCUGUGCCUCGGGAAACAGUGGGAUUUGGCCCUAGUGGCACUGGAAUUGACAAGUACCCUUUUACUGCAGAUGUGCCCACUAGCAGGACCCGGAAAUUAAAUGCUGGGAUUGUUGCUGUAAUUGUAGUAUCUUCUUGUACAGUCAUCUUGGCAUGUGUUGGAGUAGUUCUUUUUGUAUUAAAAUGGAGGAAACUUGGACGACCGCCUAGUGUUGUGAGCCCUGCAAUUACCCAAUCAAUUCCUAAGAGAUCUGGUGCGAUUAUCUUUUGGGGUUACUUGGCAUUGGCUAAUAGUAUUGUUUUGUGCUGAUAAUUCUUUUUUUUUUUUUUGGAUACUUCAAUAUACCUUACUUUAUUUAAGAUGGGGUAAGGAACAUAGAUCUAUGUAUCUGAGUUAGAGACUACCUUACACUAUAAAUUUCCUUGAUGACAUAGGGUAAGUACAUGCUUGAAACAAGAAUUUUGGUUAUUUUGCAAGUGAUUGUCUAGAUUUACUCGGAAAACACUGUUAUACUAUAAAUCAAGUUCUUGUAUCUUGAAUGAUUUAUGAAGAAACAAUGAGUAGUUUGUUCAUAGCUGUUCGAUCGUCAAGAUUUACUCGGAAAACACUGUUAUGCUAUAAAUCAAGUUCUUUUUCAUAUGAUACUCCUGUUUUCAGUACUUAUUAAGCUUUAAGUUUGUUACCAGCAAUAUGGUACCUCUACUUGAUGUUUUCCCGAGUCCCUGAUUCUGCUGUACUUGCUAAAGAACUCACCCAUCAUACGAUGAAUUUUACACUUUUUCUACGACUCGAUAGUAUAUUGGCAUUCAAAGGCAUAUGGUUAUCACGGAUAUCAUAAUGUAAAACAUCUUGCAGGCAUGAGGUCUACAUUAUCCAGUAGCAUGGCGAGCUCCAUAUCAGUAUCAGAUGUUCCAACAAUGGCUACUUGCCCACUGACAGUAAAAAUGUUUUCAUUGCGUGAACUGGAGAAGGCCACAGAUGGCUUCAGCUUGAAAAGAGUUUUGGGAGAAGGCGGUUUUGGGCGUGUUUAUCAUGGGACCAUGGAGGAUGGAAGUGAGGUUGCUGUUAAGAAGUUGCUUAGAAGGGAGGACCAAAGUGGGGACCGCGAGUUUAUUGCUGAAGUGGAGAUACUAAGCCGAUUACAUCAUCGUAAUCUCGUCAAGCUGAUCGGAAUAUGCAUUGAUGGGAGCAAAAGAUGCUUGAUAUAUGAGCUUAUCUGCAACGGAAGUGUUGAGUCUCAUCUGCACGGUAUGUUUCUAAUGAUGACAUUCUCUUAAGUAAUAAGAAAGGUGUAAUCUUUGGCAUUUAAAUCCAAUCUGAAUGCUAGAUUUAUAACACAGUACACUUUUUCUGCAGAAUUGUUACAAAAUUUUCUGCUUCUUUAAAGUAGCAUGCCAUAAAGCAACUUCAAGGGUUUUGUUGGUUCUUCCAAGAGAAUAAAUGGACUGCAAAAUUGACUAAUCAUACAUAUAUAGUUAACUCUCCAUUUAAGAAGUUGCUGGUCCUUUUUUUUUCCUUUUUUUCCUUUAGAUAGACCUGUUCCCUUUUCUUGAUAAUGAAUGGGGGUUGUUAUAUGAGUUUUUUUCACCCUUCCCCUUACUCUUUAUCUACAGGUUUCGGAUAAGUACGCAAGGCAUUGAUUACUUACAAUUUUUCUUCUUUCCAACAGUCAUAAGAAUUUUUAUCCCCUGUAAUCCCAACACUCCCAUCUACCAUAUUUAGAGUGAAUAUUAUAUUGGCAAGGUAAUGACAGCGGGAUGCAAUUAAUAUUUCAGGUGCAGAUAAGAUAAAGGGACUUCUGAAUUGGGAUUUAAGAAUGAAAAUCGCCCUCGGCGCUGCUAGAGGUCUGGCGUAUUUACAUGAAGAUUCAAACCCCUGUGUCAUACACCGCGAUUUUAAAGCCAGUAACAUAUUAUUGGAAGAAGAUUUCAACCCCAAGGUUACUGAUUUUGGUCUAGCAAGGGAGGCGUCAGAAGGGAGCCAUCAUAUUUCUACCAGGGUCAUGGGUACUUUUGGGUAACAUUUCUUCUGUACACGAUAUCUUUGGCUCUUUAUCUUAUUACGUAAUGUAUAUGCCUUUUUUCUUAUUAUUUCCUCUAUCUGGUCGAUACUUAAUGAUUGGUUCUUUCCUGAUGAACAAAGGGGUCGAUUCUAGGUAAUAUCUACUAUAAAAAAAAAGAUGCAGAAUACAUUUCAUAUCUAUUAAUUACAAAAAUUUGCAUGUCAAUACUAUCUUAAUUUUUGCAUGUCAAUACUCCUUUAAUUUUCCUCUUUAAAAUUGUAGAUAUGUUGCUCCAGAAUAUGCAAUGACUGGGCAUCUUCUCGUAAAGAGUGACGUCUACAGCUAUGGCGUGGUUUUAUUAGAACUACUAUCUGGUCGUAAGCCCGUAUACAUCUCCCAAUCCCAAGACCCUGAGAACCUUGUGACGUGGGCCCGCCCUCUACUCAGCAGCAGAGAAGGUCUUGAGAAAUUAAUUGACCCCUCUCUGAAUAAAAUUUACGACUUUGAUAAUGUUGCCAAAGUAGCAUCCAUCGCCUCAAUGUGUGUUCACACCGACCCAUCUCAAAGACCGUUCAUGGGGGAAGUCGUACAGGCACUUAAGCUUGUAUACAAUGAUAACAUUGAUGAGACUUUCGAUGAUUCCUGCAGUCAGAGAGCGUCGUCCUCUGCGCCCGACUACAAUUACAAAGGGGAAUUGGACAAUGAGAGUAGCUGGUGGAAUGGCGGUUCACCGACCGUGGCUUAUGGGCAUUCUUUGCCCUUUAUAACCAUGGAGUGUAGCUCAGAUCGGAUAGAAGAAGAAAGGCAGAGGCCUCAUUCAACUUCCUCAUUUGUCAGAAGGGACGAGUCCACUGCUGUGCUUAGUCUGUCGGAUCCUUUGAGAAACAAUAAGUUUGCCGGAUUUUACCAUUCUAGAGGGAGUACAAGCGAGCAUGGGCACCUCUCACACCAGCUCGGUGUUAACCGGCAUUAGUCUUAAAGCUUGUGCAAGAUGAUUUUUCGCUCUCUCAUGUGAGUUAACCCUCAAAUUGUACAGUUCUGAAAAUUUCCGUUUUCUAAUAUGUUGCUAUAUUGUAGUAUGGUUUUUAGUGCGGCACCCCUGUGCUAAGAAAGAGGGUGCUAAGAAAGGGGCUGAGAUUGUGGCUUCUAGUUUUUGAGUAGUUUGAUUCAUUUCUCAUGCAUCAAGUAUGUAAUUUUAUGUGUUUUAUAACAGAUGCCCCGGCACUUUCUUUUGUGCCAUGGGGAUAUAGUAGAGUUUCUGUUCUCUUUUUUAUCCAUUUUGAUUUCGAGGAAUCGUUUUAUCCGUCAGUAUAACUUUCUUAUUCUCUGGAACAAGAAAUAGAGUAAAGGUCCACUUUCGACUAUUGUUUAGCAAAAAGAAAUAAAGGUAGUGUGUAUUAUUGUACGGAUGAUAUUUAUUUAGCCGGUGAAAGUGUAAACUGUGUUACUACUAGCGAAAAAAAAAUUGAUCUUAUCCUUCGUCCUACAUUAUCCACCAAGAGAAAUCAAUUGCAUUUUUAUAUUUAGCAAUACAAAUAUCAAACUCUACAAAGCGAUAGGCAAUACCUAACGUACACCAUCCUCCAACCAUUCACUUUAUCAUACAUAAAUAUAAUCAUUCAACUUCCACAAAGUUAGAAAAAAAAACCUGCAACAAUACAACCGCUAUGACUUAAUUUGAGGUGACGUUAAUAAUUUCUCUAGAUUCACCUUCCCCUUACUGAGGCACCCAAUACAGCAGGAAAUAUUCUAAGAUAAUCUUAUAUUCUCAACAAUCAUAUGCUAGACUUCAAUGGAUUAUCAUAGUUGCUACAUAAAGUCGAUACAAGAUGAAGCCUCUGAAAUGAAUUCCCGAGAAAGCCACAAUUAGCACAAACAAAACUAAUAUGAAAUUAACACUAUCAUCCAGAGAUUUACUUGCCACAGAUAAGUUCUCAGCAGACAAAAAAAAUCUUGAAUUUAAAAAGCAACACCAGAAAAUAGCCAAAAUCUUAUAAGAGGCAAAAAGAAAAGGACACUGACAAUUGUAAAGAAACACACUCUAAUAACCACCCUUGAGAUCAUUGACCACAUCAUAGGGAAUAGGGGUGACCGUCUCCAACGUAGCUCCCUCGACCAUGAACCCAGGUUUGGGGCCCUCAGGCUGCCGCUUGGUACUUAUGAUUUCACCGCGAGCUUUGGCCUCCGCCUUCAGCUGGUCAUUCUUCUUCUUCCGCUCACGGAAAUCUUCAGUGCAUCGCGAAGGCAGGACAUGCUCCACCCGCACGUGAAUCCUUUUCCUGAUGAUACGGUUUCCCACCUGGCAAGUUAUACAGCAUAUUAAGUAUCAAAUUUAGCAAGAACCGGUUCUAUUUUCCUUCUUUAUAUUCAUUUGAAGUGGAAAUAGCUCAUGUAUUACUCGUGAUUUUAAAUACCAUACAGGUAUUUCAGACUAAUUUAUCUAUCCACACAGCAUAUGCAGGUCCAGAACACUAGAAUUCUAAAUUCUAUUAUUAAACAGACAUCUUUAACAAAUGGCAUACAGAAAUCAAAAGAGGAGGCAAGAAUUUGACUAACUUUCAAAACAAAUAUCAGCCAAAUAAUGUUAGGAAGCCAACAAUCUGUUUAGGGCUCAAAACAAUGUUCAGGGUUCUACAAGAUUGAAGACAUGGAUUUACGGUCCUCAUGUCUGCAAUAUGGCAAGCAUUCAUUCAAAGUAUAGGAUAAAGGACUGAAGCAACGCUCUUUCUUUAUUAGCUAAGUAAUAGAAUUAAGAGGUAGAAAUGCAACAGAAGAAGACAGACAAAGAUGAUUCAUCGCAGAAUAGAAGCAGAGAUGUAAGUAAAUUAAUCAACUAUGAUGCAAAAAGAGGUAGGAAAGAUUGUGACUACUAGCAGGAGGUGGAGGAGAAAGGCACUUCAACUUAACACAAAUAAUUUAAACUGUUAGUCUUCUCCAAAUUGCACUAAGAACGAUCAACCAAAUAAUAGUUACCCAGAAAUCGAAAAGUCAACAAUAAACACCAGUAAGUUACUUAAAAACUUUUAGAAGCACCCAAAUGAGGCAUUGAUAUGUGUCUCUCCUACAAAACCAAAAAUGCAAACGCAUUUUGCUUUAUUCUAAUAAGAAUUUAUUGUCAAGCAAAUGCAAGGUUCUUACCGCAGGAGAGAACAUUCAUCAUGUUAAACUCUAUACUAACAUAUCUCAUGUCAAAACACUAAAUAGCAGCUCCAAGUAAAAGAAAUGCAAGGUAAAUUGACGAUUGUAAGUUAUCUCCUAACAACUAGAAACAUAUAGCUAAACACAAAACACCCAAAAAUGCUAAUUUUGAGGUUAAGUAGCAUUCUCUACACAACCAAAGAUGACAUUUUGCAAAUUUGAUCUGAAAAGAACUAUCAGAACAACUCCAUCUAUUACAUUUCCUAUAGUACAGCAAAAUCAUUUCAUUCAAACCAAUAUGAUUGGGAAAACAAGGCUUAUUACUCUAAAAAGGAUCUGCUCAUGUAAAUGUACCAAGCAGUAAAUUAUAUAGUUCAUUUAUCAUCCUUCUAAAGUCUCCCAAACAUAGAGACUCGAAAAUAGCAAUAGCACCUUUGAUUGAAACAUGGGGAAUACGCCUCGAAAGCUUAGAAGUAAGCAUUAAAAAAAAAAAAAAAAAACAGAUUAGGGCUUUGUGAGUUAGGAUUGAGGGGUAUAUACCUGCUUGUUGAUCUCGACGCCGAUGGCGCGCUUGGUAACGUUCCACACGCGCCCGGUGCGGCCAUGGUAGAACUUGUGGGGCAUGCCCUUGUGCACGGCGCCGUUCACCUUGACGUCGACGUAAUCCCCGAUCUUGUAGGUGCGGAGGUACGUCGUGAGGGGGAUGUACCCCUUCUUCCUGAACGGGCGCGCGAAGAGAUCCCGCGUUCGGGAACGCAAUCCGUGACCCGCGGGCAUGGCGGCGGCAGCAGAAGCUCCUCCUCCGCGCUACGGUGACGGCUAGGGUUUUGGGGAAGAGGAAGAAGAGGAACACUGGCUAGGGUUACGAAUUUGCGGAUAUUUAUAGAGAGGACACGUGGGAGAGUGCCGUGAAAUGGGCCCGCUUGGGCUUUAGGCCCGACUCCGACUGGAGUCCAAAAAGCCCGGCCUACAAAAAGGAUCUAUCACGUGCUCAGCACGUGCCGAAGGUGUAUAAAACGGUCCAUCGUCGUCCCCCCUCCCCCGCCCCCGAAGAAGCAAUAGAGCGGUGACGAGCACGAAAUGGGAGCUGUGUCGAUGGUCGGAGGCGGAGACGAAGGCGACGACGUAGUCACCCCCGGCGAGCUCCUCGGCGACUCCGCCCACCUCGUCCCCGGGAGGGGCGCAUACCUCGCCCCCAACGGGCGCUCCGUGCGCGCGUCGCUCACGGGGACGCGGAGGCUCGUCCCUCCCCCUCCCGGCUCCUCCGACCAGGUUAGGGUCUCUCUAGGGUUAGGGUUUAGGGGUUUUGGUGCUUUGUGCUCACUUCCUCGCUUCGAUUUGGCUUGCAGAGGUCGGUUGUGGAGGUCGUUGGUCUCAAGGCCCAUGGCGCCGUCCCGCAACCGGGAUCGAUCGUCGUUGCUCGAGUAAAUGCUCGCUACCCUCAUCUUUCUCUUCUCCGAUCCAUUGUGUAUAACAAACUAGUUGAGGAAUUUUGGUGGAAGUUUGAUUAGAUCGACUAACAUCUUAUGAAUUAGCAAAAAAUGUGUUUAGGCAAUAUCUUCUUGAUUUUGUGCUGAUUUUUAGUCAGAAUUUAAGGGGAGUUUUCCUCUUUUACUCAAAUUCUCUUUUGCUUCGAUGAUCUGUUAGGGAAUGGUAGGAUUGUGAUAACUGCUUACAGUUAUAUUAUGUUCAUCCUUGUUUACUUUGGAUAACAAUCCCAUUCUUGUAUCUUUUUGUUUGCCUCUUAGCACAAGUUUUCCUGCUAUAUUCUUUGCUGCUUCAGCAAUAUACAGUAUGUGUAUGUUUGCAGGUAACCAAAGUUAUGGCUAGGAUUGCUUCAGCUGAUAUCAUGUGCGUCCAGUCCAAAGCUGUGCGAGAAAAGUUCACGGGGAUAAUAAGGUAGAACUUUACGAGUAUUUUCAUUGUAUAGUUCGAACAAUGAAUAUCUUAUUGCUUAAAACGCACGGAUGUUACCUGAACUACAAGAUAUUUCGAAAUGGCUACUUGAAUUUUACAAAGCUUGAUUUUUACUACGUAAUGAUUCAUUGUUUUUAAUUUUACUACCUAAGACUUCAUCUUUUUUUUUUAUAUUUUAUUUUGAUACAAAUUCUGAACUUAAAGAAAUCAAAUGCUUCAAUUUCUUACUGGUAAUUUGUAUUUUGUUGAUGGGUGGGUGCGGAGUUGAUUUUAUCUUACCGUAUUCUUUCCACCUUCCAUGCUAAUUAGUAAGGGAGUUGAAAAAAAAUAUUUUUUUAUUAACAUUACCUAAAUUUGUUUUAACAGGCAACAAGAUGUGAGGGCAACUGAAAUAGAUAAAGUGGAUAUGUACCAGUCUUUCCGACCUGGUGAUAUUGUUAGAGCUUUGGUUGUAUCCUAUGAUGAAAUUUGAUUCAUUCUCUCUCUCUCUCUCUCUCUCUCUCUCUCUCUCUCCUCCUCUUUUGCCUUCUCAUUUCAUUCAAGAUUUCAAACUAUUUUGUCUUUGUUGCUAUAAACUAGAAACGAUGGUAUGCUAGAUAUACUUGCUAGGCGCCACGACUGUUUCUCGCCAUAGCUUACUCUUUUUCUCAUGUUCUCCCUCUUCAUCUCGCUUCCUUUUUCCAUAUAUAUGCAUGCAUACUCACUUCCAUAUGUUGUAGAUGUCAUUGCUCUCAUAGAUUUUGCUUUGAUAGCUUAAUAUGUAUUAACUAUUUGCAAUAUGUCAUUACAAUAUAUCAUUUUGUGAAACUUGAUCCAUGAAGCUCUCUCUUGGCGAUGCAAGGGCGUAUUACCUUUCUACUGCUAAAAAUGAACUUGGAGUAGUCUCUGCUCAAAGUAUUGCAGGUACAGUAGUUGUUUUGUCCUUUUUCAGUUUAAUCAUGUGAGUUGAUUCAUAACAAGAUACAAAUGGUUUGUUUCAACGACCAGGAGUGCUGUAAUAUAGAUGUUUAUUUCUUUUUAUGUCACAAAAUUUCUCUCUUUUUAGUUAUUUUGGCAUCCAGUUGUCAUAGAUUGGUCACCAUUAUCGCGGAGCAUUAUUAUGGGCAUAACUGAAUAAACUGGCAAAUAAGCUAAUGGAAUGGGUAGUAUUGGAAUAUCAUUUUAACAGUAGCAUUAAGGACGUUAUUAAACUAACAAGCUCUUCAUGCUUUUGCUUUAGGUGGUACAAUGAUCCCAAUUAGCUGGACAGAGAUGCAAUGUCCACUGACUGGACAGGUCGAACAGAGAAAAGUUGCAAAAGUGGAUUAAACGCACGCUAUCUGAAAAGCUAAGAAAAAUGGUAAAAGAAUGUCGUUUGAAUCGCCAAUUCAUAUUCUGAAAUUCCCUACUUAGUGUGUAUGACCUGUACAUAGGCAUUAUUUGUCUCCAUUUGUCCUCUAUGCAUCUUAUUGUAUAUAAGAAAGAAAACCUCUGCAUGCCGACAGGUUUGGGGAUCACCCCCCAUAUUCAUUUAAACUCUUUUGCAAUGAAUUGAGAGGGACUGUAAAAUCUGUUUAGUACUUCAGUUGCUUAAAAUUAAAAGAAAUUAAUUUAUUUACUCUUUUAAUAGACUUUCCAUAUAUUGUUUUUGUUAAUGUGAAAUGCUUGUAUCUGUAUAUCACAUGGCUCAAACUUUUUAUUGAUGUUACGCGGGAAUAAUAAUGUGUGUCAUCUGUGUCACAUAGCUUAGUAACUUUUUGGCAAGAUUUUGGAAUAGUUGUCUGGCUUUGGCAUGAUAAUGUCUAUUAUUAGCACAUUCUGGUCAUACUAUGCGGCCUGAUCUACUUCUCCACGUCAUAUACAUUAUAAGCUAUUGGAAACUAUAUAAUCUCAUGGCUUAGUUUUUCUUUGCUACCCACUUCUUGCAGAUUGCAUAACUGAGUUCGUCCGACGCUCAAAUGCUUUACACUUGUUUCCUUUCCUCAAGCCCUUGAAUGGAGCUGACGGGGGGAGCGCCAGUAGGUAAGUGUUUUGUUCCACUAGGAAAAUGGAUCCCAGAUACUCAUGUCUCGUGUUUUAAACAAUUUCAGAAAGCUAUAGUUAUCCCCAGCAAUAACCAAAUUUAGUGCUUACGGUGCUUUGAAGCGCUGGUAGGUUUGUUGCUGGGUAUAGACAAAGCUGUUUAUUUUCCUUCUUUUUUUAUUUAAAAAUUAAAAUUAAAGAACUUGUGCUAUAUUCUCUUCUGUGUUUAUGGGCUAGAUGAUUUCCCAAAUGGUAGCUAUCUUGUUAAACAUAUAUGCCUGCAUGUUCUGUAUCCAGCAUUUUUGGGCCGCCAACUCAGCCAUAUCAAGUCUUCUAAACUUUUUUUUUUUUUUUCUCUGUUCUAAAAUUGAAUGGAAUCGUCAGCGAAUAGUUUAGUUGAGAACUCCAAUUCAGAUUGUCUCGUGCAGUAAACUACAGAUGCGUGUACAGUCCUACGAGCAUCUUCACAAAGAAGGGAAUUAAAAAAAAAAAAAAGAGAAGCCAAGAUGGGCGAAUGAACAUAUUAUUUGGGGUCAAACAUACAGACCGACCGCCCUUGUAACACUGGUAAAACCUCCGGCUAGCCAAAGAGAACCUUAUGGCAUCAAUAAAAUAGCAGUAAAAUAGCUUUGCAAUAAGGAAUAUAUAUGUCACGCCCCGGAUUACACUUUUCCCGGGCACGCCGACAAAUCCGCCGUAUACAAAGGAAUUUCCCCUGUAUACGAAGCGUUAGCUGUACCUGUAAAUCAAACACUACUACGAACAGUAGUAGAGAGCUGCUAGAGAAAACAGAAGCUAAACAAACUGAGUUUCAUAUACAUAGUCCAAAUCCAAAAUACAAAGCUACUCGCACUGNCUAUGCUCAAAUUUUAAAGAUUAUUCAAUUUUCACCGUCUAUUUUGAUAUAAUUUAUUUACUAAGUAAACGAUAUUGAAAAAAACUAAAAUUUUAUUCCUAAAAAAUUCAUAUACCCUAAAUCAUAUUUAACGGUGUGGAUCGUUGAUUUGAACGUCCUAAGAUCGAAAACAAACACUAUAGUACCGGAACUCGGUACUAUAGAUAGUAUAGUAGCCUAAUUAUAUAUAUAUAUAUAUAUAUAUAUAUAUAUAUAUACUUUAAGAUGUAUCUGAAAAAUUCUAGCAGUAAAAAGUUUGUCAAAUGCAGCAACAUACAAGGUACGUUAGAAUUUGUUUCUUUUUUCUUUUUUCCUCCCCCUCGUGUAGGGGUGUCAAACGGCCCGGCGUGAGUGGGCCGGGCUAGGCAUGGCAUGAGCACUGUAGCACUCGAGCUGAGCUGGCCCAGCCAAUUAAAUCGGAUCAUGCUAGGCCUUGCUCUAGCGGCCCGGUGGCCUAGCUCGGCCCGGCACGACACGGGUCUAGACCGUACCGGGCCUGAGGGGAUGCCCCGGCCCGGCCCGUGUGGCCAGUGCCUCCCGAUCCGGGCCUGGGCAAGGAGUUGGGUUGUACCAACUCCCAAGGCCCCCUGCACCAGCCCAACUCCCAAUGCUUUGGGAGUUGGGCUUUGGCAUUGGAGCUCUCCCAAGCGUUUGCUAUGACAGACCCUUGGGAGAUGGGUUUUUUGGACUAAAAUGUCCUUUCCAAUAGUUAAAAAUUUGAUCGUUGGAAAGGCCUUUUGAUUUAAAAAUUUUAAAAUUUUAAAAUAAUUGAAAAUUUUAACAUUUUUAUAAUGUAUUUUAAAAUUUUACAUUUUUUUUACUUAUUAUUUUUUUCAAAAAAUAAUAUGUUUAUUUUUAUUUUUAAAUAUUUUUAAAUAAAAUUAAUAAAAUAAUAAAAGGCCGGUCUAAAGCCUGACCCGUUCCGUACAGCUCGGGCCGGAGGGCCGUGCUCGGCCAGGGUCCAAGAAUUUUGGCCCAGCAUAGCACAGCCCAACUUUGGGGCCGGGCCAUGCCGGGCUAGCCUCCGGCCCGUUUUGGCCUGGGUAAAUGUGGGCUGUGCCGGGCCACGUUUCAUCCCUACCCUUGUGAUACACCAGAAUUAAACUGUAUAAAUUGCUUAAAGAAAAAUAAAUUGUUAUAUAUAGACGCUAAUGUACAGAAAAACAGAAAAAGGCAAAAAAACAUAAAGCAUAUUGCGAAAGUUAAUAGGUUAGACUUGAGCUUAACUAGCAAUGUACAUUCGACACAAAAGGGAGUUGGAGAUACAGUUCGCAGGUUACAAUGUGGAAAAAUGAUAACACAAACAUCUGUAUUCCCAUUGACGGCAGACCUCGAGUAUUUUUGGAACCAGCUCAAGCCUGAAAAAUGAAAAGAAGAAAGAGUAUCAAUUGUUAUGUACCUCGACAAAAAAAAAAAAUAAAAUAAAAUAAAAUAAAAAAAUAAAAAUUGUUGUGUGAUAAUCUUCAUCAUUCACCAGUAAUAGAACAAAAGGAGGGAGGGCAAAAAUCACAAGCCGAUAUUAAAGAUAACAUUUGCAGAUCAAGUUCUGUGAAUCAUCAUGAAUGUGUCAUAAAAGAAUACAAAUUAUGGGCUGAAAAUAUCUCAUACCAGAGAAAAGAGUAGCAAAGUCUCACUACGCAUUGAGAUCCUAUAAAUAGUUGCUACAGAGAUUUCCAAGAUGAAAGGAAAAAAGAUCUAAUAAAGUUUCUCACAGCAAUAGUGUGCACAAUAUUAUUAAUUCAUGCAAAGAAAAGCACGCAAUAACAAUUUUUUGACUAAAAUUCCAGUUACCAUACUAAUCAGUUUCACGAUAGCUUCAACUAGCAAAUACACAAACAUUUCCAAGUUCUUUUAAUGUGCUACUAUAAAUUCUAUCGAGUCAGAACUACACAAUGAUAGGAUUGUAUCUUAAAGUUCUUUACCAUCUACCCUUCUGUCUUCAUCAAUUUGUCCACCUCAGCAUGCUUUCCUAUUACUUAAUCCUAUUGUUCGAGUUUCAAACUUGAACUCCACAAUAUUAACAAUUUAGUGAUCAGAAACUGGAACCCACGUAAGGUGCUUUGAGUGAUUGAUUUUUUGAAUGUACUACUUGCUUAAUAUUUGCAUUAAAAACUAUCUUAAAGGACCAUAGUCCUUUCUAAUUUAGAUGUAACUUUUACUUACCCUUUCAUAGAUUAACUGAAAUAAACAAUUCAGUGAACUUCAGCUUUGAGUUAGUUGGGAAGAAAAGUCAAAGAUUUUUGUACUCAGCCUGCAAAGGAAAGUAGGCCUUGAGUGUCGUUCUAUACUAGUUAUCCGCCUGCAAAGGAAAGUAUGAAGAUGGUAUCAUAUAAGUUUUGCAGACUCUCUUUUUGAAUAAUAACAACAGCAGAAUCAACUCCCGAGAAGGACAAAGGGAUAUUCAACAGCAACUCAUUUGAUUCACAAUUAUUCAACAAUUUACUUGCAGAAACUGAAUCAUAUACCUAACUAAAAAAAAAAAAAAAUCAAUUCUGAAAAACCUCUCUCAAGAUCCCACUACCUUACUGAAAAAAACAGCACCAUAAAUGAAGAUAUCCAAUACAAAAUAAAUAAUAUAAACCAUUACUGUAGUCAGUUUUUUGUAGAGUGAGGUGCAAAUGGAGCCCAUAUGUGCAAUUAUGCUUACCGGUGAAAAGGGAGGAAGAACAAGUGGAAGAGGAUAAACGGAAUUACCAAUAUGAAAGAGUAGAUGGAUUGAUAAAAUGAUAGCGGAUGCCAAUUUUCAGCAUUCCAAGGCAUACUUCUGGAUCUACAAUUCAAGAUAAAGAAAGGGAAAUCAAAUACUGAUCUCACUAUAGUGCUAGUUUGGAGUGCUGCUGAAAUCGGACUAUGCUAUGUAUAACAUCCUAACUUUCAGUGACAAUAACAAAAUCAAUUUAGAAAUAUACUAGCGUAAAAUAUCAAGAAGAAAUAAAAAGACCAAAAAAAAAAUAACAACAGGAUUUUCUAUUUGCCAAAUACAGCCAAAAAUUAUCUAAAAUAUCCUUGUAACUUGUAAACAUAGACAGACAGAUAGACAGAGAGAGAGAAGGGAUGAGAUAUUCAUGUAUGCGUAGUUGAAACAAAGACAACAGCAUUAAAAAAACUGAACAUUAUAGCGGUAACAGCAAAAAAAAGUAUAUUAAAGUGCAACAAGAAUGCAAAGGCAAUAGCUAAAUUUCUUGCCUCAAGCAAAUUUUCCUCAAAGAAGAAGUUUGGCCCUGUGCAGUUCGUAUCAUGCUGGCGAUUGUACUGAAGAAUCCUGAGCUUGCCUUCCUGCAUUUAUAAUGGAGAGAAAACUAAGUUUAUAAGAAUAUUAAAGAUCUUAUAUAAUGGUUUAUUGUUAAAGAAAGCGUCACCUUUGUUCCAUAAACAAGGCCCCCUCCGGCUAGAGGAUGAAAGCAUGCAACAUUAACCUCAUCUUCAGCACUGGGAAGAACUCUUACAAGCUCCAUAUCUGAAACUCUAUACACCUGGAGUCGAUUUUGAAUAUUACAAAUCACGGUAGAAAGGCAAAAAGAACACUAAGCUAACAGCUUAAUUACUUCAAGUAAUUACAAUCGGACAGAAGAAAGUUUAUUAUUGGCAUGCUGAAAUGUACCAUAAGAAAAUGAAUUACAAUAGUAAAGGGACAAAGACGAUAGAAACCGCACUUCAAAGGUCAAAAAAGUAUGUCUACAGAAUAGGUUAUAUUAUCUGUAUAAUAACAAGCUAUAAAGUUAAACUUCAAGGAAACCGGAAAAUCAUAUGUACCUCUAAGAUUGUGUAUAUAGGUAUUGCAGUCUCCCCAUCGAUCACCAUGCUCCUAAGAAGUGAACUAUGGCGACGACCGUAUGCUAACAGAAUGUGUUCUGAUGUAGGAGAGAACUGGAAGAGAAUGGAAAUGGAAAUUAAAGGAGGCAGCGGCCAAAUUAGGAUGAAGUUCUAGCAAGUAACAAGCACAAAUUGACAUGCAAGUCCAUUAUAACAAACGAGAGAGGAUAAGUUGCUUGAACUUCUACAACUUAAAUACGUGUCAAACUAGUCCAUCUAAAUCAAUUAUCCUCAAAUGAAAACCAAAAUAUUGCCUAAAAGAUCUGAGCAUUUAAAAAAGAGGUUAACCUGAAUGGAGGUCAAGCAAUGAGCAGCUCUGAUUGCCCUUGAAGCCAGAAUGUUUCCAAAUCUACGAUAAUAACACAAUUCGGACAUCAUGCAAAACAACUUCUGGAUUUAUAAGAAUCGUUUGAUGGAUAUAAUCAGAAGUUAGCCCUUACGUUGCUUCUUCAAGGGAAUAGACACGAAGCUCAUACAUCACCCGGUGUGAAGAAACUGGGUGGCGGGUUGGGGAUGUUGCAGCCCCUAUAGAAUCAUGUUGCAUCUGCGAUGAUUGGAUACCCGGAUCAACUUCCAUGUGAGGCAGCAAACAGGCAACACAGGCUACCAAAAACCGCCCACACGGAGAAAAAUGAGCACCCAUUUCACUGCCAUUAUCAUUUGCACAUACAAACCAAAUUAAAUGUAAAAUAUUUGCCUGUCACUGCAAAAUUAUCUCUUCAGAUAUAUAGUCCUGCAAUAUUUUGAUUUUAUAAUACAUGCUUGAAAAUCUUAAUUUUUUAUAUGUACACCCAUCAAUUUACAAAAAAAAACCCUUAAAAAAACUUUUUGUAAUACAAAACUGACACUAGUGAAUUAAAUGACUCCUCAAUUAAGAUAAAAAUAUUGAUGAAAGAAAAUAUAGUUUAAAGAGGCAUAUGUGAAAUUCAAAUCUUAUAGGGUUAUACAAGUUCAUGGAUGAUUUUGCAGGGGCAUAUAUGUAAAGAGUAAAGACCGUUAAAAAUAUAUUCAUAACUGGAUGUGUAAUAGAUCAUGAGCUUUCCCCCCUAGAUGUUACAUCUAUAUGAAAAAGAGAUAUAGACUGAUGAAUAAGGUAUGUGACUUGCACCUGCAAAGCACGGCAUGUGAUAUAGUCAAAAGGCAUCUCUCUGGAUCUAAAAGAGCACAUGGAUCACGUAUAUCAUGUGGCCAUAUUCUAAGCUUUACUGUACAAGGUAAUUCAGCAGUUCCUGCUGUUGCCAAUGAUGAGGGAAGUUCAGAUCCGAUACCACGGGCACUAGGAUGAACCUCAGCUUCAUUAUUUUGGGCACCGAAAAACAAGGCACCUUCUCUAGAACCCAAGACAGCACUUGAAACUAAGUGUGCACGAGCCCUGUAGUUGCCCAUAGCAGUAGCCAUCGAAGAGGAAGCUGUCAGAGGUUCAACAGUACGAGAAUCAGAUCCAGUGUUAGUUUGAACCAUUAACCAACCCUGCGAAAAGGGUGGGUCCCACCAGGAUGGAUCAUUGAAGGGCAAAAGUUGGUGAAGAUGCGUACUUUCUACAUUUCUCAGAUGCAUUUCUGCUACAGUGUUAGAGCCAGAAGGUUCUUCUGGAGAAAUAUCCAUUGAGGUUGCUGAGUGGUUGUCCUGAUUGAGCCCAUCUGAAUUGGGCUGAGUUCUCCCAUCAUCCUUACCAACUGCUGGCCAGAAGAUGCAAGGAGAAUGUAUAAGAGGCACUUUAGCCUCUAGAUGUUGCUCGAGACUGCCAUUAACGUUUGCUAAAAAUAUAGCAGGAGGAGGAUAGUGUGAAUAACCAGUAGAUGUUGCAACCGUCAAAGGUGAAUCUGCCAAAUCAAUAUCAUUAACCUGCAAAAUGAAGCUGUUAAACAAGAAAGUUGCCCACAAAUAAGCGUAUGUAUAGGUCAUUUGGUUCGGUUUAAGCCUUUAAGGGCUUUGUCUCUAAACCGAACUAAAUCAAAGUGCAUGGAGAUGAACCAAACAGAACCAUUUAUCCAGUUUGGAGUGAACACUCCAUUGAGUGUAACAUGUGUCAAACAAUUAUACGACUAACAUAAGUAUAAUUAAUCUCAUGCAUUAAAUCUUUGAUCUAAUGGUACGAGAUGUUAAGUACUGUAACAGUUUGAUCAUCAUUUAACAGGCUAUAUUGAUCGAACUAUUAUAAAUUCAGUUUAUUUGGAGGAUAUCUAUUUGCAAAACACCAAACCAAACCGAAUAACUAAUAAAGCCGAACUCGGUUCAGUAUGGUAAAUCUAUUUGGCCCAAAUAACUACUAAAGAAAUUACACCAAAAAAAAAAAACUACCUCGGCUGUUAACAGGAACGGAGCAGCAUGGGGAUGAAAAUGCACAGCCCUUAGUGAACGGCGAGUUUUAAGUACCAUUACCGGGGAAGAAUCCUCCCCUCUCCUGUUGUAGUUCCAUAUGUACAGCUACCACAUAAUUUUCAAGUAGAGUUUCAACAUCAGAAUCAAGUCGUAAUAAUAUUAUGAAUAAAGCAAAUGCAGGUAAUGGACAUAAGGUUUUCCACUCUAUGCCUAUGCCAUGAAUAACUCACCUUAUGACCUGAAGCUACAGCAAGAAGUUCUCCUUGUGCAUGAAAAGCAAUAGAGGCAAUGGGGCGAUCUGCAAGUAGUAACACAUAUUGGAUUCCCUUUACAUCAAUCAAAUUAACAUGUAAUGUUAUUUAAAUCUACGGAGAAAUAUACUUCAAAUUAUAUACUCUGCAAGGAACAUUACAGAAAGUGUGAGAUCCUAUACAAACUGCAGUACGUGCAUCCCACAGACGAACUUCAUGAUCUAAGCUACCACUAGCUAGUAUUUCUGAGAAUAAAGGGUGGAACCUGACCUGCAAACGAUCAAAAAGUGUGACAAGUAAUGAAAUCGGAAAGCCAUACCAACAUUCGAAUUAGAUAAGUGUGAUUUCGAUAGAAAAUGACAUGAAACAAGAAACAGAAAUGAUAAAAAUGUGUAAUCAAUAUUCUUCCAGCAUCCCCACAUGAACAUAACAAAAACCGAAUCCUCUAAUAAACCAAGUUGGAGUACAAUGCAUUAUCUUUAAAUACUAUUGCUAUAGGAUAUAAUAUUCAUGUGAACCAUGGGAAAGGAGAAACCAACCCACUUAUACCAAUGUUCAAAGCAAUUAAUGACAACUAUUUCUUAUAUAAAAGGAAAAAAAAAAACCAAAAAAUGGGAGUUUCUCGUAAUUUGAUAUCUCAAUAUAUUACAAGGGAAGAAAGGCAUUAAUCAAAAAACACAAACACAUAUAAAUGCAUACAUACCACCCAAGGAGUGCGCCGAUGGCCACUCAACACCUUAAGACAGUUUCCAGUUUGGCAAUGAAUUAUCUUCACAGUGUGAUCACCACUGAUAUAAUAUUCAGUUAGUCUAACAAUUAACUAAGAGCUAAAGCUGGAGCAGGACAAUGAGCUUACUGUGUCGAGGCAAGUGUAGUUCCAUCAGGACUAAAUGCUGCCGCAAUUGUGGACCUAGGAGGUGGUCGAAGGGAACAGUAUUUGGCUGACAAGUGACGCAACGAUUCUGAUUCUACCCUGAGAACAUAAUAAAUGAAAGAAUCAACAGUUGCUAGCAGAGAUCAAUUCCCACUCAUAAGAUCUGAUUAAACUGGUGUUGAAGAAAAUAUAUAAGAAUAAAUAGCUCAUUCUUAUAGAGCAAAUUUGGUGCAAUAAAGUUCUGAAAAUCAAAAUCAACAUUACUGUAGUUAGCAUAGAAAGGUCCCUUACCAAGAAGAAAGAGCAUAUUUUGCAUCUGUCAUUUCACAUCUUGACCAACAAUUGUCAGGUUCAUAAGUUGAAACUUCACCCCAAAGGUUUUUCCUACAUCGUUUUGUCCGAGGGGAAAUUUCCCUCUGAACUAGCAACUGAAAGACAUUUCUAUCAUGAGAAGCAAAGGGCCAUUCCAAUUAGUAAUUAAAAUGAUUGAAGAAGAUUUGUCUACAUAUACUAAAUAUCACCAGGCAAUUGUUUACAUAAAUGAGAUUGAAAAGAAUCUCAUCAUAGCAAGUGAAUACUAGAAAGACAUUAAAUUAAAGUUAAACCGGACCACAGCAUAUUACAAAUGUACGUCGCCAUCAAAAAUGGAACGAACAAGUAGCAAAUGUUUCAGGAACAAUGAUUGCUAGCUAGUAAAGAUGCAGAAAAUCUUGUAAAGUACAUAAGGACAUGUAUCUGAUACAUCUUAAAUGCCAUAUUGAAGUAUUAGGAAGCAGUGAAGCAAUUUGCCUUGCAUGUUUUCCUCCUCCAUUUUAUUUUUAUCAACUUACUUUGGAGAGAUUAGACUAAUGUUUCUGUCAAACCAUCUCUUUGAUUAUAAAUUAUAAUCACGCAUCAUUGCAAGGAGGAUAAAGAACAUUUACAUCACAUUUAGCCAGCACAAAAUAAUGUAUAUUAGAAACAUAAACCACCCCAAUACUUAUCACAGCCACAUAAUAGAUAUUGCUCAAUGUCGUGAGGAAACCAACUUUCUUACCUGCGUCUCACGGUUGAAUAUGAUGAAGUAGGAUUAAAACAAGAUGGCGGAUCAGAUGCUGGGAACUUUCCAUCAUCCAGCCACCGCUGAGUCAUCUCAUAAGAUUAACAUGCUGCUCCUGAAAAUAUCCAUUUUGCUCACUAAAUCAGAAUGCGAGGGAAUUGAGUACACAUCCACUGCCAGAAGGUCGGUGCUGCCUUUUUUAUUUUAUUUUAUAUUUGUGGCAAAUGGAUGCACGAAAAUUCAGUAGAAAGGCAACAUUUGAAGAGGAAAAAUAUAAAUUUGAAGGACUUGACCCUUUCGUCAUGUUAUAGCUAGCACUCUUACGAUCCAAAAAAGUAUGAUGAUAAUGUCCUUUCCUUAGAGAUCUGCUCUUCUGUUUCUUAAAGCAUCCUCCUUGUCAUAAAAAAAAUCCCAGUUUUCAGCGUUUCUACAAAACCUAUAAGCUAAGAUAACAAACAUAUCCGUCUACAUCAAUCUACCCGUAUAGAAUACGUAAGCAGACACCAACAUUGAACUAUCCAUUAAAUCAAAUCCAUAUCCAACUCUCCGCAUAAGAAAACCCAAAAACCAAUCUCUACGCAUCGAACUAACCCAAAAUAAACGAAGAACUCGAUCAAAAUCGCAACAAACGACGAGAAUCAGACGACGAACGAUCGGACAAGGACGAGAACACAGAUAAAUCACCUGAAUUGGACGAGAAAUGGAUCGUAGGCACGGAUCUGCGGCGACGAGGGCCGAAUCCGUACGAUUCAGGCGAUCAUCGCGAUCCGAGAGGGGAAUUGAAGCGGAUUUAGGAGGUAAUUGGGCGCCGAUGAUUCAUCUAGGGUUUCUGAUUUCGUGGGCGAUGGGAUCGUCGAGCGUUUUCGAGAGCGGGGAAGGGGGGCGUGUUCGGCGGUAGCGGCGCUUCCUCCGGCCUCCUACGAAAUGCGACGGUGGGGAUCAAAAUGAAGCAGAGAGAGAACCUAAUCCGGUUCGGUCGCUAUUUAUAGAUGCCAGAUUUGGACCAGACCGGUCCGAAUGAGGCGGUUGGGCCGAGCGGGGCAGACCGGGUGACGUCACCUCGGAUGUCCGAACGGCACGUGCGGCUUCGCACGUGCUACGAUGCGGGGUUUAUUCCCUGCACCUGGUGCAUUUUGGCAAUCGUGAGCCGUACAUCAAUAACCGUCCAUUCUUGCUCGCAUGCCUAUCAGCACCGUCCGUGCUGUUUGGUUAUAAAGCUUAGACGGUGCAUGAUGUACUUGUGUUAUCAAAAUAUCAGUUUAAUACGAAUUCGGAUACCAAUAUUUUGACUCACAUGCAUAAUCAAAAUAAAGGACAACUCAUAAAAUGAAAAAACAAAUUAGAAUUAAAUGUGAUACCAUAUUAUUCAAAAAAUUAAUUUAAUCAAAAACAUCUAUGGAAAUAUAUAUUAAUAGUAUUAAUGCACUCGGUUCAAUCAAUUUUUUAGUGUGAUUUUUGGGUUACGGGGCUUCUAGAAGUGUUCGGUCUUUGGUUCUAGACGUUGGAGGAGAGACCGUAGAAGAGGUGGAGAAGUUAAUUACGAUACUCUGUUGUUCUUUAAAUUUUUCCAUUUAUCAUUUUUUUUUUAUGUUUUUGAAAAAGGUUUGUGCUGGUAUAUAUUGACGAAGAACAUUUGACACUAUUUUUAUAAUAUAAUAUUAUUAGUUAGUUGGCAUUUAAGAUAUGAUAAAUUUUAACAUAAAGUUUAAAAUCAAGAUAAAAGAUAUAUAUAUUCUUAAUAGUUAGACCAAGCUAAUAUUAAGCACAAUUUAUUGGAGAAAAAUAAUUUUUCUUUAUUAAUCUAAAAAGAUAAUUAUAUUAUAAAAAUUAAAAGUAUUUUUUCAUCUGAAUUAAUUAGAACCACCAAAAUAACAAAGAAAAAUCUGAAAUUUGCCCCAAAAAACAAAAUAUCAGCAUGAAGCCACGAACAGGAUAAAGUUGUACGGCCUCUUUUACAAUUAACUAGAGUUCAGGGAGCUCCAUGCAUUUUUCUCCCAAAGAAAAAAAAAAAAAAAAACGUUAUCCCAAGUACACGACACAAAAAUGAAUACUCUCGCCGCGCUACUUCGCCACUCCCCGCUACACUGCACUCUCUCUCUCCCCGAAUUCUAAAGGAUGCUAUGAAUCCUCCCAAUCUCCUCUCUUUCCCCUCAUCCUCAACUCCUCCCCCUCCUGUGAGAAACCCUAACCCUAAUCUUGGCUUCGGCGUCCCAUCCCCGGCCCCGGUCGCUCGACCUCGCCGCUUCCGAUGUCCAUGCCGACGCGCCGGCGCUCCGUCGUGGGGCUCCAACGCCGAGUCCGUCCGAGCCGGGAGGUUCGGACGCCGAGGCCCCUCCGAUGGGCGCGACGAGGUCGGGGACUCUUGGGGGAAGGAGAAGAGGAGGUGGUGGUCGGAUGAGUCCUCUGAAGAGCUGGACGAGGACUUCGACUUCGAUUUCGAUCCCGAUGAGGGGUUUUGGGAUAAGAUUUGGAUCUUUAAGGUGGGACCUUUACUCUGAUUUCUUAGUUUCUACUAUCUAUUGCGUUUGAUUAGUGAUUUAUGCGAGGUAUGAAAUGGAAAUGGGUGGGGGGAAGCUUGUUUUUGUCAAUAUUAUUAUGAUCACAAUCACUAGUAAUUUGGUAUUUUUGUAGGAGAUAUGGGAUUGAGGAGAGUUUACUUUCAGUGUGAAAAAGCAAAACAAAAAUUUGGUGCCCAAUGAGAUGAAAAUUAGUUCAUAGCUACAUAUGUAUAUUAAAUAGUAAUUGAAGUCCUUUUUUCUGUAUUAGAUAUGCAUACUCAGUAAAUUAAUCAGAAGAGGCUUUAUACUAACAAAAAAAAUUCUAAAGUAUGUGGGAUGAGAAAAAUUAGUAUACGAAGUAUAAUUAGUUAUAUCCUAUUGUACAGUUUUAUGAUCUCUGCUGAAGUAGGAAUUCCAAAUUAUAACCAUUUUUCAGGAAGGUUUCAGUUUACUCUGUUUGAGUUACAUAUUACCUUUGGGAUGUAUCAAUUUCCACUUUGAACAAUAUGAAAAUGAGGUUAAAAAGCAUGGAUUCAAUCUGAGACUUUUACUGUUGUGGAAAAUACUAGAUGCAGCAAAAUUUCUCAUGCAAUAUCCUUUCGGCUGGAAAUUGUGAUGUGACUAUAAGUCAACGAUCUUUAUGCGGCAAUAAUUGAUGUUACGACAGAGCGGAGUUCAUGUUGUUUUUGGUGGAUGCUGCUUAUGGUUGGCGUCAAGGAGAGGAUAAUACUUCCAGGACUUGAUUUGGUGAAAAUUAAGUUUGAGUACCACAUUACAUAAGUCAUAUUUAUUCAACGGUUAAAUCCUGACUUAACCUAAGGCAAACACAACAAAACAUGUUUUACAUCCAAUCCUAAUUAGAUGUCAUGCAAAUACAUCAUCUCUGAUAACUGCGUCAUUGGAAGCUCAGCUUUAUACAUAGUAUUCAAUCAAUAGUGCAUUUUACUAAAGCUCAUGCGUUGCUAGUUGUUUGAUUUCAAUGUGCUUCAGAUAUCCAUUCAAUCAACCAAACUCAGAUUGUAUUUCCAUCAUAUUACAUCUAUUUACUCUUUUCAGUACAACGUGAUGUUUCUCUUCAUCAGGUAUUCAAGGCAUAUGGCUACUUGCUACCUGCCAUCAUCGCAUCGAUGCUUCUAGCGACCGGUCCAAAGGCUUUCCUUAUGGCCUUAGCACUUCCGCUCGGCCAAUCGGCAGUCUCUCUAGCAAUCGAGAAAAUAUGGGGAAAGAACCGCGAGGGCCCAAGAACGAAGCCCAAGACCAAGAAGAAGCCGUUUGCAAGGCCUACUGAUGACUUCUUCAGGAGGCAACGGCAAGAUGUAAGCAGCGGCGAGAACAAUGGAAAACCCAGUUAUCAUUCGUGGGUCUCUGCAGACAAUGGCAGUGAGGGGAGUAAGUCAUCUAAACCAAGUUUUGGAGGGUGGGAUGAGUUGGACAGGCAAGGGAACCUUAAUAAUGGUCCUGUGAGAACGCAAUCGCGUACUAUAAAUGGUUCGGGGUUAUCGGAGGAGCCAGUGAAUAAGUUGUCUACCAAGGGGAGAUACAGGGAUGCGCCAUUGCUGCUGAGGCUGCUGAUUGCAGUUUUCCCGUUCUUGGGUUCAUGGACUAGAAUAUUGUGACAGAGAGAAAACCAUAGACGGUUUCUUGGAGUAUAUCAAAAUGGUAUAUAUUUUAAUUAUUUUGUGGGCAGUUUAGCAUUAUUUUGGAGGGAGGGUGGUGAUAGAUUAUUAUUGUUGAUAGAUAAAGCAGAUUCAUAUGUAAGACUAUGAAAUUAAAUUAUGUCUUUGGAGGAGGAGAAAAGGUGGGCGGUGGUGUGUUUUGAUUCUUUUGAAUAAUUGGAACCUCCACCGGUAAUGGGUGUGUAUACCAGGGAAUCAUUUGUUAAUUUAUUUUUUUCUCCCAUGAUUUUUGAGUUUCUUUUUGCAUAGAUUUUACCCACGGAUAGAGCGUUAAAAAGACCAACAGGUUUUGACCCAUUGAAAGGAUGAAAUAUAGAGUUUAAAUCCACUUAAUUAAAUGCUGAAUGGCGGAACAAUUCGCCAGAUUCAAAUGUCAAAUAUGAACUAGAGUUUUUUCAUCCGCUUAUUUGGUAAGAUCGAAAACUCAAGCAGAGCACUCGACCAGAGUGUUUGCCAACCUAUAAAUCAUAAUCGAAUCACGAAAUUAAUAUUCGCGUGUGCUUACAAAAUUAGUCAACAGCCCAAUCAGACUUCAUCAUACAGACAACACAACAAGCUUCCAGAAAUUAGAUGCAGGCAAAUUCUAUAGGCAUCUCAACGUAACUAAUUAAUUACAAUAAAAUAGAGAAACAUUUUGGGAAAAAAUUGAAGAACAGCAAAAGCAAUUCUGAAUCCACAAAAUAACUUGACUGGGAGAGGAAAAGAGAGGGGUUAUGAUCUUGAAAAUAGCAGGCCACCAUUGAGAUUGCAAGGAGAGGCAGGAUCCUUAAGGCAGCUACAGAAUCCAUCUUCGUCCAUCGGAAAUGUUGUCGGAAGUGCAUGAUCCGGUAUUAUGCCAACCUAGUCAAGGUUUACCAUAAAGAAAAAUUAAUACAUUUUUCGAUCCCAAAUUAUACAAUGUAACUAAGAUACUAUACUUUGCCUAGAUGUAGGGCUUGGCCUAAUGUGAUAAUAUGACUAGUGACAUCAAUAAUGAUUUUGAGAACUGAAGGUUCAUAAGAAAUUAGUAUUUAUCAUUUUACUGGACAAAUAUCGUAUACAAACCUAGAAGUUAUUUACAUACACAGAUAUGAUAAAACUAGUUUACUAUAUGCUUGCCACUUCUUAAAAUUGUUUUCUAAGUGAAGAAUGGCUUGAACUAUGAUGCUUGAUGUGAACCUAAGACUAACACUAUCUACAUCUCUUGUUAGGUGAAAAUUUAUGCAUCAGUAGAACAUUGCCGACCUUGUCGAUAUCAGUAUGAGCAGGUGUUUCAUAGCGAGCCACGGUGACAGUUAAGCCAGAGCCAUCAGAGAGCUCAAAAACAGAUUGAAUCUUCCUGCAAAUGAAGAUAAUGCGAGUUAAAGAUGGCGGUUAUAAGAGAUUGGAGCACCAUAUUUCGGGAAAAGGAGUAAAUUGAGAAGCCAUAAAACCCUUUUCCAAAUGUUGGCUCCCCAUAAAUCACUGCUCUUUUGUUGUCCUUUAGUGCUCCAGCAAGUAUCUCACUUGCGCUUGCAGUUCCUCGGUUAACCUAAUAAAUUUGGAAAUAGUAGGUAGCAUAUCACUCAUCUGAAGUUUUAGAAGGUCCAAGUGUAAAUGAAGAAAAUGGAUCAUACCAGCACAACUAAAGGUUCAGAUGCUGCAACUGUAUUUACUCCAUCUGCCUCAUAAAUAUCACGAACCCCACGGCUAUCGCAUAUAUAAACAAUUACACCUUUCUCUAACCUAAUCAGCAAAAGAAACACGGAAAGAUUUUUUUUUUUUUAAAGAUGUAACUUGCUUGAUACAUCAUUUGGCUACAGCUCGAUAAUAAAAUGAGUAGCUUGAUAGAAAACAACUUAACAUGUUCGUUGCUCAUACUAAUCUCCUCCACUAUUUGAUACAAGUCAUAAAUGCUAACCAAGAUUUAGUCGGAGCAUGAACUUCACAUGUUAGUAUGUGUUUGUGAAGAAGUUUACCACAUUUUUGCGAUUUCAAUUCCUUCUGGAAAGAGUCCACCGCUGCAUCACAUGAUAUUUGUGGCCAGAGUUGUCAGUGAUGAAGUGUAAACGAGAUAUGCGGCUCCUAGCAAAAUUAUUACCUGUUAUUCCGAAGAUCCAGCACAAAGGAUUUUACAUUGUUUUUUCUUAGUGUCUCAAUCGCUUCCUUAACAGCACCUGCAAGAGGGAGGAAGACAUAGACUAUUCAUCAAAAGAACAAUGAUUGAUAAGGGUUCAUUCUGUCAAUGCUCCAACCAUAAAAAAGAAAUAAGUAAAGAAAGGAACCCUUCACCCCACACGAAAUUAAGGCAGGUUAUAUGAAGUAAUAGUAACUGGGGAUACAAACCUGAGGCAUUUUGGUUAAAUGAUGUUAAUUUGAUGUAGCCAAUCCUUGCACUAUCCCUUCCUGAGUCUGGGAUCUCACAUAGUCUUGACUUUACAGGGUUUAGGGUGACUUUCUCUCUCCUAACAUCAGAUUUAUAUUGAAAGAAGAUCCAUCACAUGAAUCACAUAGACAAACUGGAAAAGAUUUGUCACGAGAAUCACAAAGAUAGACUAGAAAGGAGGUUCUUGAUCACUUACUUCAGAACUAGGUGCCUUAUCUCAGAUCCACUGCGAACAGCCAAAUCCACCGAGCUUCCUUCAGGACCUCUAAAAAGAAUUUAUUUAAAAGCCCACAGAACUAUCAGACAAAGUAAAACUCAGCUUUCUUGUGUUAUGAAGAAUAAGAAAUAACAAGUAGAAUCAAGCAAAAAGAAGAAGAAAAAAGAAAAGAAGCAGCAGCUGUUAGAAAGUUUUUAACAAAUGCAGUCUUAUUACUCUUUAUAACUCUCUUUGAAAGAAACAGUAUAGUUAUAAACUCUUUUUAACUUUAAUGAUAAUUCAAAGGUAAUAGUUCACCCGUCUUCCUUUGUUCUAAAAGCAGCCUGGUUGGCAAGGAAUAAGGAAGACUACUGCCCAAGGAAAGACGGAGAGAGAGAGAAGAGAGAGAUGCACCAAUUCAAUAGUAUCUCCAAGAAAACAGUUUAAAGAGAAUGAAGACAUGGAAAAUUUUUCCCCCUUUUCUCAUUGCUUAUAAGCUACAUCAUGAGUUAUCAAAAGAAUCUAUAAUGAUGGACAGCACAUGUAUAUAUCUAAUCCAAUGAAACAAACAUAGCUCAGAAAGGUCCAGGAGUCAAAUAAUUUUGAAGUCUGCUAGACUGCUAGUAAGCUUAAAGAAGAGAUGUACAACCAAAAUUGCAAGUUUAAGCAACUUAAUUAUGCAAAUGAGACUGGAUUUGUGAAGAGUGUGAUCAUAAUGUUAUUAGAGAUUCACCAAAACCCAUAAUUAGAACACUUUCAACCACUAUAAUGAAAAGAAAAAUAAAGAAACAAAUAGAGAAAUGUUCUUAUGCACUUUUCGUUAAGCUAGUAACGACGUACCGUAAGACAUAUUAAACAAAAGUAAUAUUCUUACUGUAACCGAUCAGCUGCCUCAUAUAUAUCCAUAUCUUCUGUACUAACAUCAUUAAUUGCCAAAAUAAUGUCUCCAGGAACGAUACCGGCCUUCUCAGCAGGUCCGCCAGGGGUUGACGACAUUACAACAAGGCCUGUUGGUGAUCCAUUAAGUGCUGUAGGAUAGCCGAUUGACAAACCUACCCCUGUAAGAGCACCUUGGGUGCCAGACUGCCUUCAAACAAGAUAAUGAAAUGUCUGAAAUAUGUACUUCAAGAGACAUUAUGAAAAUCAAACUUGGAAAGUUUAUUUAAGUUUUUCCAGCAUCACAUUGUGUAAGAAGAAAUAGAAAUAAGAGUCAUACCCGCAAAUUCUUGAAUUUCUCAGGUUCCAAAAACCGAGUAAAAGGAUCAUCUAACGUUGAAAGCAUUUUCUUUAUAGCCGCAUCUGAAAGAAAAUUGCAACAAGUUAGCAAAGCCUAUAUAAUUUGCAAUUGCUUUUUAAUGUGGAGGAUUCAACGACAUUGAAAAGCUUGUUUGCUUCAAUAUCUCAUACAUAGCUCAUGAGUUAAUCAAGAAAUGCCGCCAAAAAAAUUUGUCUAGACUAACGGUAAAAACAUCCUUAAGCAUGUUGCAAUCCAAAGAACAGUUGAUAUGCUCAACAGUUAGAAGCCACAUCUUCAUAUGAAAGUAAUGUAUUCUCUCAACUUAAGUUACUAUGGAAAAGCAUUGCAGGAAUUUUUUUAGUUUUUAUUCACUUUUUUUCUUUACAAAAAGCUUAAGAAACCUAGAUAUGGUUGUAUUGUACAAAGUAAUGCAUAGGAUGCAGUUAAGGUCGAGAUGUCACAGCAAAAUGAUAGGCUAUAAACAGAAAAGAAUAUAAGCCAAGAUGCAUCCAACUUCAUCAACUCAUGUACAUUGUGUGGUUAGACAAUGUCGUUAGCAUAUAAUUCAAAUCGUUAAACAAAAGCAAUGAUGAAUUAUACAUGUUUCUUCCCGUGUAUUCAUUGGUUCAUUUCGGAGUGCAGUUUCCCGAUAUCUAAACCAGCUUUGCCCAUUGAACGUUUUAUCAUAGUACGCACGAUCAACCGUCCUCCAUGCCUCCAAGAAAAGCAGAUUUUCAUCUGUAAGUGCCCCUGUUGAUUUUUUUGGUAAUCCACAAAUAAUGAGUUUAUUCACCAAUGUAGUGAAGUAAAAUUUAUAAAAAAAUUCGUUGCAUAAAGAUAUUAAGAUGUUGUAAUAAACCAAAGUAUACUUACAUGAGGGUGCCUUGUUGACGCUUACAGACACGGCCAUCACAAACAUCAUGCCAAAGAUCAGACGAACCAAACGGACAGAUAUAUUAUGCUUGAAUGUCUCUUGCCAAUAGCUUAUUUUGUGGUUCUUAGUUUCAUAACUCAAAUUAGUGCAAAACCUAAUCAGUGGUGCAAUAUAAUGAGAAUAUAUUCUCUUUGGCAUCCACAAUGUCUGAAAAAAGGAUGUACAUGAUAAACCGUCGUCAGCAUGGUUGAUUAUCCUGUAAGUUGUUGAUCUUCGGGUAACCUUGAAAAUAAGAAACCUCGAAGGAGAAUUGAGAUCGCCAGCUACAAUGCUGCAGACCUAGCAUAUCCACAGAUUUUGGAGAGCCGUUAUAUAGCAGAUAAAAGAAGCAGUAACAUAUCGAGAAAACAUAUUCUAUACAUAAAAGGUAAAUCUAUUCCAUUUACUGGAGGAUUUACAGGCAUAGACAAAGAACUCGAAUUCCUUCCUGCGCUAUCUUCUAGGUAAUGUGUCUACAGCAUCUAAUACUAAAACGAUAUGAUGCUAAGCAAUUAAGAAGACAAUUAAUCUGCAACAAACAAACUUACAAGGUAUAAUAAAAAAGUAAUGGAAACAAGAAGGACCCUACUUUUUACAUAAAUGAUAAUCUGAAGCAUUUGUGAAUGUAACUAAUUAGUAAUUACUCACAGUAAGUUAGGUGAAAUCAUUUCAAAUCAACAGAAAUAACCUCAGAGCACAUUAGACUUGCUUUCCAAGCACCUUAUUCAAUAAUAUAUGAUUUGCAAUUCCAUUUAAAUAACUGACUAGGAGAAUUCCUAGCAAACUAAUAAUCAAGGAGGACGAAUUAAAAGCACCGUUCGUAAUUUCUGAUCACCAUAAAUCUACUCUUUAGAUAAAUAAUAGUUGGAAGCACUUGUGAAUGUAACUAACUAGUAAUUACUCACAGUAAGUUGGGUGGCAUCAUUUCAAAUCAUCAGAAAUCACCUCAAAUCACAUUAGACUUGAUUUCCAAACAACUAUUUCAAUAAUGUAUGAUUUGCAAUUCCAUUCAAACCACUGAUUAGGAGAAUUCCGAGCAAACUAAUAAUCAAGGAGCACGAAUUCAAACCACUGAUUAGGAGAAUUCCAAGCAAACUAACAAUCAAGGAGCACGAAAUAAUAACACCUUUCGUAAUUUCUUAUCCCAAUUUCACAUAAAAACCUUCGAUCCGUCAAUAUAGAAGCGAUUGAUAAGAAAUCGGAGGGAUCAAAAAUGCAAAAGGAUGCGAUAGAUACCUGAGCAUUGUUCCACGGACUCCGAUGGAGGAGGGAACGAUGGGGUGGAUUAGGGUUUGCGGAGGAGGAGAUAACGACGAGUGGGAGAGGACGUGGGGAAGCAGCAGCGAUCUCAAUCCCCAUCACCACCUUCGAAGGGCAACGAGAAUGGAGGAGAGGGAUUUGAAAACGCACGGCGAACUCUCGUUCUUUUUUCCCACCGGAUAGUGUUGUGUAGUAGCUCGUUCUUUUUUCCCACCGGAUAGUGUUGCGUAGUAGAGUCGAAAUGCUUGCAUUCUAUUCAGUUGUCUCCGGUUCACCACGACAUCUGUGAACCAAAAAAGCUAAAAGUGAAUGGGUGGUGGAGAUUUAAAAGUAACAAGAGUUAUCGUGCAAAUAAUUGGACGGUUCCUCUGAUGACGUGGUGAACAGGGUUCACGUAACUACUGACGAUGGGCUCAUUUGAUUUUGAUCCAAAGAGGUCUUAAGACAUAAUGGGCCGUAUUGGGCCGGACCUUAAAACUUGGCGCGAUUCAACCCCCCCAAACACAGUCCCACACUGGAAGAUCCUGGCCGUCCACGUGGCAACGAUCACUAACGCGAGUCAGAUUAGCGCGAACAGUGACUUCACACUCCUCAUAAAACAUUCUCAAAUUCGAAUUUUUUAUCUCAAUUUGUUUAAAUUCCACAUUACCUAUCUCUAAAACCCUAAUUCUUCUCGGUCGGGAAGGAGACGACUCCAUCUCGAUGGAGGCCGACGACGCCCCAUCGUCUCCCUCCUCCGCCCCUUCUAACCCUAAACCUAACCCUAGACGAGAGAUAUCCGAGCUCCCGGGGGAGAAGGAGAAGGAGAAGGAGAAGAAGAAGAAGGCGUGGGCGCCGAAGCGCUUCGUGCACUCCCAGAUCCCGGCCUCGAUCCUUUCGGACCCUUCGCUCAACGCGGCGAUCUCCCUCCUCCCCUCGAACUACGACUUCGAGGUCCACAAGACCGUGCAUCGCCUCCGCUCGGCCGCCGCGCGCCGCGUCGCGCUCCAGCUCCCCGAGGGCCUCCUCAUGUACUCCCUCCUCCUCGCCGACGCCCUCCGCUCCGACGCCGACGACGUGCUCGUCCUCGCCGACCCCACCUACGGCGCCUGCUGCGUCGCCGACCGCGCCGCCGCCGCGCUCUCCGCCGACCUCCUCGUCCACUACGGCCACAGCUGCCUCGUCCCCGUCCCCUCCUCCCUCCUCCCCGUCCUCUACGUCUUCGUCGACAUCCGCGUCGACCCCACCCGCCUCGCCGCCGCCGUCCGCUCCGCAUUCCCCGACCCCGCCGCCGCCCCGCGCCUCGCCCUCGCGGGCACCAUCCAGUUCGUCUCCGCCGUCCACGCGGCGCGGUCCAUCCUCCUCUCCGAUGGCUACAAGGACGUCCUCGUCCCCCAGGCAAAACCGCUCUCCCCCGGCGAGGUCCUCGGAUGCACCGCGCCUACCAUCCCCAAAUCGGAGGGUGUGGACUCGAUCAUCUUCGUGGCCGACGGCCGGUUUCACCUCGAGGCGUUCAUGAUCGCGAACCCUGGCGUCCGCGCCUUCCGCUAUGAUCCGUUCCUCGGAAUCCUCGUUUUAGAAGAGUACGACCACGCGGGGAUGAAGAGAGCCCGUAAAGACGCCAUCUUAGCGGCUAGGAAGGCCAAGAAUUGGGGGGUCAUACUAGGAACCCUAGGGAGGCAGGGGAGCACUAAAGUCCUGGACAGAGUGGUGGAUCACAUGGAGGAGAGAGGGUUGGAUUACGCCGUGGUGCUGAUGUCAGAGAUCUCGCCGACAAGGAUCGAGCUGUUUGGAGACUCCGUAGAUGCUUGGGUGCAGAUCGCGUGCCCUAGGUUAUCGAUCGAUUGGGGAGAGGGAUUCACGAAACCGCUGCUUACUACCUUUGAGUUUGAUAUCGCAUUGGGGUAUAUUCCAGGUUGGUGGGAGAAGGAGAGGGCGAAGGAAUCAUUGAAGUGCGAUUCAAAUUUGAAUUGCCCCUGCGGUGCGGAGGAGGAUGGGAAGAAUUGCUUGGGUUCAUCUGGUUGUAGAGUUGAGUCUUGUAGUAGUUCUAACUGUGGUAAUGGUGGAGAAGAGACGGAGUAUCCAAUGGAUUACUAUGCUCAGGAUGGAGGAGAGUGGAAUAGCUCUUACAUGAAGAAGAAGCCUUCUGCUGGUGAUAGGAAAGCUCAUAGCAGAGUUGGUAAACAACCCAUCUCUUGAGAAUUUAGAACUUUAUAUGUUACUGGUUAUAUUCAUGCAUCAUGCAAGUUUAUAUUUGGUUUUAUUUCCUUUGCUUCUGCAGAAAUCAGCUGAGUUAUAGUUGCUAGUUACAGCUCUUUUGCAGCUUAUUUUUCCUCCUCUUUCCUAUCUCUUCUAAUAUGUGGUUCUUUGAUGUUGCUAGAGAUUGGGCAAGCUGAUUGAAUAAAGAGAACAGAAAUUGGUUUCUUUUGUAAGCUUCUCAUAGCAAGCAAGUUGCAAAUUUAAUACCUCUGCAAAUCCAAGUGGUCUUUUUCAUUGAUUUCUAUAAUUUUCGUGUUUAAUAAGUUAGUGAUUCUUAGCACCAGCUUUUUGAUACUUUUGAGACUUAGCUGCAUCAUUUUAAUCUGCUAGAAGUUGUGAGUGUAUCACAUGAAGAAUAUUUGGAUUGUCUUAUUCUCCUGCAGCUCCACGUGGAUUUUGUAUGUAAAUCACCAUGUCUGAUUUAUUACUUGUAUUAUUUAUCAGGGAGAAAUGUGCCAGUUGAAGUGAAACAAUGAGAAGAAUAUGGAUCAAAUUCAUGGAGAACUAACCAUAAUAUGAGGAUCCCACAGAUUGUCUGGUUCAGUCCCUCUGAAAAAAGGAAGUUUGAACAAAUUUCCGGUGAGCACAUUACCUACAGGUCACAACUGCUACUCUGGAAGGUUACGGCUUGGUUUGACUGCAGUAGAUUCGAUUUGGAUAUCCUGACUGCAUCACGAGCUGAUUUGAGAACAGUUAUCUGAAUCCUUCUACCGCUCCUUGCUAUUGUUUUGAGAUAUUAAAUGUAGUUAACAGUGUAAUAUGUUCUUUAUUGCAAUAAAUUUUGCUGCUGAAAAGCUUCAUGAUCAGUUUCAUUUGUGUGCUCAGCUUUUGUGAUGUUCGCAAACAAAAUUUGAUCUUCUCCAAGGAAAUUUUAUCAGCUACAGCAAGACAUUGAUCGCCAUCUUUUGUAUCACUCACUUUUUCUAAGUGAAUGCACCAACUUAGACUUGUCACCUCAUCGCACUAUCUCAGAAUAAUAACUGAAGCUUCUGAAUCAAUUGAAAUUACAAGAAUAUCACACAUAACGUCAGUACAGUUGCAAUUAAAAGUUCCAGAAUAAGAAAUAUGACAAAAUACUAAUGUACUACCCCAUUAUAGAAGAGUCUUAGAUUUUAGAUUACCCCCUGUAGUGUAAAUCAUAUACAAUUCACAUAAGUAACCUUUAUAUUAAGCACCUUAUUCAUGUACAUAAAGAAGGGUGGCACAGAUAUUGCACUGCUGCAGAGUGUAGGUCAUUAUUUACUCAUUAUUGGCACACAGCAAGUGUCCCGGUAGUUGCCUCUGAUUUGUUACUAAGAUGUCAUACAAAUGUGAUAGCAUAUUUUCAAACUUUAAUCACUACGAAUCGCGCUCAGAGCUCACUUGCCUUGCAAGCAGUAACAGUCCUACCGAAGCAAAUGCUGAUAAGAAGGUUGAUGAAUAACAAAGAACGAGAAGAGCUCCCCGUAGAGACUGGAUUUGAAACAAGCAACAAAAUUAAGUUAGCAAAAGAUUCACCAGACUGUAAGAAAGGAAAUAGAAUCUGUGAAAUUUCUCAUCCACCUUGGCUAGUAUCAGUGCAUUGUCAUUUGCAUACUGCAACGAGCUUUCUGGUAUGCUUUGAACACCUUGGCUUAGUUCCCAGGAGAGAAUCCUAAUGUGAAAGUAUCAUACAUAAUGUCAACAACAACUAUGAGGACUCAGGGUGAUUAACCCAUAUUGCUCACUGCAAACCAAUCAACAAUCAUAGUAAUCAACUAUCUCAUUGGCAUUUUAUCUUAUCAGGGGAAGAAUUACUCACUAGCUAGCAGACUCAUUCAAUCGUUGUUUGAUGGAACAGCAAGUUACACUGUAAUAAUAUUUACAUUAAUGCAGUAGGACUGGUUUUUACCCAAAAACGAAUCCGACUGCAGCUCCAAUGUUGGCUUUUGCUGGGGUCAACUCAAAUUCUAUUUCUCCAAACUGAUAAAACAAUUUCAUAGUUAUCAAUCUUAAGUUUUCUUUCCAAACUUACAAAACUGAGAAUAAGACUAUAGAAGCUACCUUCAGUAUCUUGCUUUCCUUUUUUGGUUCUUCAUCUGUUAUAGCCCCUGGUGCUCUUGAUAGAAUCUUUCCAGUUUUAACCAUUGUUUUAGCAAUCUACAGGUAUGGACGUUAAAUUCCUCGCAAAGGAAAUGGAUCUUGAAGCAUUUCAUGAAACAGUAAAGACAAAUUGAAAUCUAAUGACCAUUUUAUAAGGAGUUGCAACAAAGAUUACAUUUAACUUGCUAACCUCACAUGGUAACUCACUAGCUCUUUUUGUUUUUGACUUAGAUUUUCUUUCUGAAAGAGAAGUCUACAUAUACUCUGCAUUCUUUGCAGCAAAGUGUGAGAUUAUUGUAUCAAGCAAUCAUUAAAUGUUUUCUAGUGUCCUCUAAAAAGCUUUGGGCAAUUCCACACUUAUUCAACAUGAAAAUUUUUCAACUCAGCUAAGAAAAGUUCUUUCCAUGCAAAAUACAGAAAAAGUACAAAUCUAGGAUUCAGCUUUACCCUUUGCAGCUCUCCUUGACCAUAUUGCCCCAUGGCCUCAAAUCUUCUCCCAGCCGACACCAGGCGUUUGCCAAGCGCUACACUAAGUAGAAGAACCAAAAAAAAAAAGGGCGCACUUGAGUAAGUUGCGAUUCAACAGCCUAUCAGGCAAUCGCAUACAACGCUGGAUCAUAUAUGCAGUUCAAUGCGUAAUGUGAGGCAUACAAGGCCAUUUCUAGUAUAAUUUGUUUUAUUUUCAUAAGUAGUGCUCAUGAGCAGUGUUAUCCUUGCCUGAUUUAACAUUCCCCAUCAAAUAGCUCUCUAUCGAUGGUAGCUGAGUAGCAAUGCUAUUCGAAGUCCUAGUGUCCGCUAGCUCCCACGCUCGCGAAAGAUUCAACAGCAAUUCGCCCACUUCUUUCCCACACUGAAACACAAAUCCACAGCACUUAGCUCUCCAAUUAGUCCAUUAUUAUGCGAAUUUACUACGAUCUCAUCAAUAAGAUCAAUGGAGGAUUAUUAAACCGCAUUCGACAAAACCCUAGAAACCCUAACCCUAGUAUGAUACUGACCUCCUCCAGCACGGGCCCGUUCGACAGAUCGAAUGCCGCGUCGUUGAGCUUGAAUCACGAAGCGAAUCGAUCAGAAUCCAUCAAACGAUCACCAAAAACAAAAUCAAAUCGAUGAUCUGAUCUCAGCAAGCCGACACUUACAUCGAGACGUAGAUCGCCGGGGAGAGCAGAGAGGAAAUCCGGGGGAAGGCGCAGGGAAUCCUAGUCGCCAUGGAUACACAUAAGCCCAAACCCCAACAAUUAUAAGAGGGGGGGACGGGGAGAGAGAGGGGAUCUUACGGCGAGCUCUUGGAGGAGGGGACGGAGGGGCUUGUCGCCGAGUGAUUUUGGGGAAUCGGACUCGGCGAGGGCGAAGGAGACGACGAGGGUUCGAGACGCGGAGCGCCUCUUAUAGGAGACGGAGUCGAAGGGGACGAAGAGGGAAGGGACAUGGUGGGGAUUACGGCUAAAGAGAGGGGCGAGGGAGGAAAUAACAGGAGAUGAAACAGUACGAGGAGGAGGAAGAGGAGGGGAGAUGAGGAGAGACGCCAUUAUUCGAAUUACGUUCGCGACGGGGAGUGGGAGGGGAUUGGUGUUCGUUCUGGGCCUUUAAAAUCCGUGCAUGUGGGCCCAGUUUCUACCGGGCAAAAUUGCACCAGGGCCCAUAACUUAAUUUAAGUUUUACAACUCCUUGCAAAAAUAAUCCAAAUAGUUUCUACUGUGAGCUCAACCAACAACCACAGAUGAAGCUUCAUGGAUUGAUCGGAGCAGAGUUUAUCCCUCCAUUUAUUUCUUUGGCUUUAUUGGAGUUUCUUCUAGCAGAGUGUUGUCGCCGGCAUACAAGUCAAGCUUUAGUUAAGCUUUUGCUAUUGAACUUCAGAAACUCAUUCCAAGUUUCUUUUUAAAAAAUUUCAAAAACAACAAAGCUCUAACAGAUACUGUAUUUGUUGAACAUUUUACUGCUGCUUCUUAAAGCCACAUUAGUGAAGCUAAAUAGACACUCAUGCAUACGGGCAUGCUUGCAAAAAGUAAGAAGCUUCAAACUGAGCAUCGGUAAAAGCUACAUAGGUACAACUGAAUACAUACAGAACAUUGAUUCGAUUGUGAGCAACAACUAAUCACCCAAAGAAUCUCUACCAACGAGCACUAGAAUGUAAACUUUUUUUUUUCUUUUUUUUUUUUUUGGGAGGGGGUGGGAACAAGGAGACUAAAAUGAAACACUAGGGCUCUUGGGCCUCGGGCCCUAGAAUCCCAUUAACGACGGAGAGGCCCACGAGGACUCCGACGGCCUCCGCCGCAGCUACGGCCCCGGCCUGAACGAGAUCGCCGGCGACCUGGAUGCCCUGCUCCGCCACCACGAUCCGCUCCUCCGCCUCCACAAUCCCCUUCUCCGCCGCCACGAUCCCCUUCUCCGCCGCGGCGAUGCCCUCCUCCACCGCCCUCUCCCCUUCCCUCACCGCCGCCUCCGCCUCCCCCUCGAUCCUCUCCAGCUUCUUCCGGAACCCGAAGAGGGGCACGUCCAGGGCGCUCGCCGGAGUGGGGGCUCCGGCGAGGAGGAACGGCGCCGGGAGGGAGACGAGGAGGAGGCGGAGCGCCUCCCUGCGGCGGCGGAGGGGCGGCGUAGUGGAAGGAGUCGCGGAGAGGCAGCGCAGAUAGGGGCGGAGGAGGGGGAGGAGGGAGGUGGAAGAGGUCGCCAUGGGUGGGAGGGAGUGGGAUUUGGUGUUCGUGGUUCGAGUGGGCGAUUGUGGUUAGAGGAAGGGGAAGGAAUGGUGGGUGGUUAGUUUACGGAUGCGCCCUCGCACAAAUAAUAUGUGGCUCAGAGAGAGACUACGGAGCAUAACGCUACCGCUACACGCUUAUUCGGAGGUUCACUAGGUACCACAAAGUUCCUUUUACUUGUGCUCUUCUUGUGUUGAAAGGAGGAAAAACAUAAGUUAGGAUUAUUGGAAAAAAAAAUUAGAAUUAUUUAAAAGGAUAAGUAGUUAAUUUUCUCUUUCAACCUGCAGGGAUUUUUUUUUUUCUUUUUUCUUUUCCUCUUCUUAUCUUUCUCUCUCUCUUUUUCAAGCAAAGUGUUAAGUUUAACUAUAAAUCAGACAUAAAUAUCCUCCUAUUUUUCAUCUAUCAGUUUGUUUGAACGGUUUUUGUAUUGCUGCUGCGGAAAUGCUGGUGAGAAUAUGUAAUGCUUUUACUAUGAGGAACUUUGCUUACUUUUCAAGUUUAACUUGUAUUCUUCUGCAUGUUUAAGUUAUACUGGACGUGAAUAAGUUACUCGGAUAUCAUAUAUUUUCUUUAAGAAUUACAUAUUCAUAUCUUAAUUGCUCAGGAAAUAGCUGCACAAAGCAGAGGAUUACUUGAUUAAACUUGGGAAUGUGCAUUUUGCAAGAAACGCAGGUAAAUAAUACAUCAGGCAUCUGCAUUCAACUUGCUCUGCUAUUGUUUCUUAGGAGCUCUUAAACUUGAUACAAAGAGUGAAAAGACAUUAAUUCAUUCUUCAGCUGAAAAAUUCGCUAAUUAAUUUUGAUUUUACAUACAGAAUGCUGAUACAUUGUUGUGUUUUUCAUCUUUCUUUUCUGAAUCUAGUGUAAUCCACAAACAAGGAAUAACUAACCAAUUUGGUCCGAAAAGCAUAGCGAAAAAAGAAAACACUGAAUCAUAAAUUUUUAGAACAUAGACACUUGGACCUCAUAUAAUAAGAUCCUUUUCCUCUAAAUAAUGCAACCAAGUAGCAACUAAUUUCUAUAUGCCAACACUACCAGUGAUGGGUACAGGCUUGUAGGAAUUCAAAGAUUAUACAUGAGACGUGCAAGAUUCAAAAGAGUAGCUAUUCCACUGUUCUCUCUUCGCAAGGAUCUGCAUUAAGCAUGUCUUUUUUCUUUUUUUUUUUACAUGUCGAAGUUGAUACAAUCAUCUGCAUAUCUUGCAUUAUUUUCCCACCCGUUAUUCUUUCCCUUUCUCAAGUUCUCCUCCCCAUAGCCAAGCUGAUCCUCAUAGCUCUGCCUUGUAAUUCCUGCAAUUGAGCAUUGCAAACAUAUUCCACAUAGAAUAAGCAUCAAUCCUGAUACCAUGAAUUACACUAACAUAUAGCCAUACAUAUAAAAUUACCGCUCCGUUGAGAGUUUGGAGGGCCGUGUCCAUCUCUUCCUUGGAGGAAUAGCAAACAAAGCCAUAACCGCGUGAUCGACCUGUGUCUCCGUCAUAGAGAACCCGAGCUCCGACCACAUUGCCGCAUUCUUCAAACACUUGGGUCAGGCUCUCCGAGGUGACUGACCAAGAGAGAUUGCCUACAAAGAGCUUGUAUUCACUCUCAGGGUACAAGGGCUCUUUCGGCUUCGGCUUGUCGGAGAAGUUCACCCUCAAUGUCCGACCACCGUAUUGCUGGAAGUAAGCAAUUCCAGCAAUUCCAUUAGUAGAUUUAGUCUAGUAAGCCAUGUAAGUUUCAUAACAUUUUUUCGUUUGUUUCAAACAACAAGCCCUGAGAGAUGAUCUUAACACUAAUACCAGGACAAUUUCAGUAGCGGUUAUAUACUAUGAAGCACAAGAUACUCUAGUGAAAUUGGGCACUACUAACAUAUCAUGCUUGAGAGAGAGAGAGAGAGAGAGAGAGAGAGAGGGAUCUUACACUUCCAUCAAGAUUCUGAAUGACUGCUUCGCAAUCUUCGACAGUGCUCAUGGUAACAAAGGCGAAUCCUCUGCUUCGUCCGGAUUCUCUAUCGUAGAGAACCUGGAAGGUUUUUCAUUUCGAGUUUACUGAACACUAUCUUUUGCUAGAAGAUAUCAAAAUCUUUUUAUAGUUCAAUAGCGUGUUUAGGCAAAUCAAUCAUUUGAACAAGUUGGGAAGAUGAGGGCAAUUAGCUACCUCAACCAUCUCCGGGCUCGCGUAUUCUUGGAUGAUUCCGGCCAAUUGCGCACUGUCGCAGUUAUACGGCAAGUUACCAAAGUACAGUUUAGUGUUCUGCGCUGCGACAGCGGCAACCUGAUCUUCCUCUUCAUUGCCAUCGUCGGUCGCUGCUGCUGCUGCUGCUGCCGCCGCCUCCUGCUCCCCGACCUCUGCCACGGCUUCUUGCUGAGCCACCGCCGCAGAGAUUUUCGCAAAGCCCUUCUUAUGUGAAGCUAAGGGCAUGGAGAGAUUCUCCAUGAGAAGGGUCAAGCUCGGCAUGCAGCGGCGGGGGCAGGGGACGCGGAGAAGAGCGGCAGCGUCGGAGGAGAGAAGCUUGGAGUUGAGAUGGGAAGUGAUGGACGUCGUGGAGAAGGAGGCGGUCGAUGCGGAGGCCGCCAUUGUCGAGUUUGGAGGUGGUAAAUUGUGCAAGAGGAGGAGGAGGAGGAGGAGGAGGAGAGUGGGAGAGAGAAGGGAGAGAGAAUGGUUAUGAAUGUGUAGUUAGGGGGGGUGAUGCUUGGUGAUGACGUGGAGAGGUUGAUGGCCAAUGGCAAGAGAUGAUGGGGAAAAUGGGACAAGAUAAGGUAAGGUUGUGCAAUUUUUUUAUUUUUUAUUUAGAAAAGGGGGAAACUUCGAAUACCCCACGUGGUUUCGUACUUUCUCACUUUAGUAUUUCGUGGUUUAAAAUAUAUCAAGUUAAUAUUCUGUAGUUUUGCACUUUUUCACUUUAGUACCAUAUGGUUUCAAGUUUAUCAUAUGGUUUCACUUUAGUACUAUAUGGUUUCGUACUUUCUCAUUUUAGUACUUUGUGGUUUAAAGUGUAUCAAAUUAAUAUCAUAUGAUUUCGCACUUUCUCACUUUAGUACCUUGCGGUUUCAAGUGUAUCAAGUUAGUACCUUAUGGUUUCGCACUUUCUCAUUUUAGUAUUAUGCGGUUUAAUAUUUCGUUAAAUUAUGUACCCUGAAAUGGAUAAUAAAAGAAAAAAAUUGAAACCACAAGAUACUAACUUGAUACACUUGAAACCAAAUGAUACUAAAAUGAGAAAGUACGAAACCAUAGGGUACUAACUUGAUACACUUUAAAUCACAGAAUAUUAAAGUGAAAAAGUGCGAAACCACGAGGGGGUAUUUGAAGUUUUCCUUUAAAAAAAGUAAAGAUUUGAUGAAGUGAAAAUAAUAGUUAACCAGUGAAGUUACCCGCGCAUUAUAGCGGAAUAGAAGAUUAAUAAAUAAAAAUUUUAAAGUAUUUUGACUUAUCAUGAGACAUUAAUAAAUACAAAUAGUAUGAAAAAAAUAAAUAGAUUUUAUUUUAAUUUUUUUGCGAAAACGAUUAGUUUAGAUGACAAUAAACUAUGUGGUAUUAAUUAAAAAGUGGGUGGGUGAAAAGUAUGGAAUGGAUAUAGAAGGUGGAACGGCUAAGCAUCAAAGAAGGAAAGAGAAGGCAAAGGUUAAAAAGAAAUAUAGAUAUAGAUAAAUAUAAAUAUAGAUACAUAUAAAAUUUGGAUGCGCCAAACAACUGAAUUUGGUUGAUUUGGUGGGAUCGCAAAGGCUGAUCCAAUUCCCACCCAGAAUGGUUGAGUAAAUUGGCCCGAACAACCCAUUUUACCUAUCUAUAGAAAAAGUUUUACCUCCAGAAUUUUCCAUUGAGAUCAAAUAAAACUCGAAAAAAAAACCUAUAUAUGGAAAAAGUUUUACCUCCAGAAUUUUCCAUUCAGAUCAAAUAAAACUCGAAAAAAAAAAAUUCAAACGCAGUAUUGGUAUCUUAGUUUUCUUUAUUUUCUAAGACCCGCCGUAAAAAUAUAUAACAAAGCAGGAAAUCUUUUAAUUACAGUGUGACAAAGACUAUCAUCUUUUAGUACCCAAUAAUUUGAAAUCCAAUUACUUAUAUAAUCUUAUAGAAAGAUUACAUUACAAUUAUAGAAAAAUACUUUGCUAUAUUUCAAUUUUGGAGCAUCAUUUUGGUUGGAAUUUUUUCUAUUAGAAAACGAUUCAACUUACGCUUAAUUACGGACACUAUAACGGUCUCCUCCCUCCAUUCAAUUCAAUGCCUCGCCACCGACCGUCCCUAGAAUAAGUGGUAAAGGGUUUGGUGGUUGGUACUGAAGACCCAAAUUUAAAUUCUAAUUAAUUUAUAUUUCUAACUAAAUUUAUUUUUAAAUAAAAUAAAUAAAACAGUUAGCGAGCUACUUAUCUUUCAAAAAAAAAUUUCAAUGCCUCGCCCUCCUAAAAUUAGCUCCUGCCUCUUCUGUCCAGUAUCCUAAUUCCACCCUCUUCGCUGUAAUUACGUUUUCCCCACUCCCCUAAACCCCCUCCGCAAUGUCCUCGUCCUCUUCCUCCUCUUCCUCCAUUCCCCUCCCCUCCUCCUCCUCCUCCUCCUCCUCAUCUCCUCUCUUAUCCCCCUCUCUUCCUCUCCUCUACUCCUCACCCUCGCCAUGAAACCCUCGGGAGGAGGAGGAGGAGGAGGAGGAGGAUAUCUCCAGCAUCGUGCUCCGGAGGUGCCGUUCCACCUGUUGGAGAUCACGGUGAUCUCGGCGCAGGACCUGCACCCAUGGUCGCGGCGCGUGCGCGCGUACGCGGCGGCGUGGGUGCGCCCCGACGAGAAGCUGCACACGCAGGUGGACCGCUCGGGCCACACCAACCCAACGUGGAACGACAAGUUCGUGUUCCGCGUCGACGGCGCCUUCCUCCGCUCCGACACCUCCGCGGUCACCGUCUCCAUCCACGCCUCCCGCCCCCGCCUCGCCCCGCGCCCCGACCCCGUCCUCGGCGUCGUCCGCGUCCUCCUCUGCUCCUUCCUCCCCCGCCGCGUCGCCGCGCUCCAGGUGCGCCGCCCCGCCUCUCUCCGCCCCCAGGGGAUCCUCAACGUCGCCGUGGCGCUCCUCGACCCCUACAUCCUCAGCAUGCCGCUCUCCCGCGCGCCCCCCGCCUUCGUCCUCAAGGACCUGCCCAUGGCGGCGCCGCGGCCCAGGCCGGUGAAUCGGAGUGGGAAGAGGAUCGACGAGGAGGAGGAGGACGACGACGACGAGGGUUUCGAGCAGGAUCCGGAGAAGGGGGCGUUAAUGGUGGAUCGAUCGGGGCCGUUGGAGGAGCGUAGGUCGGCGGAGAUGAGGGAGAGGAGAGAGCUCGAGUCGAAGAUCGAGAAGUGGAAAACGGAGCUCUCGCCAGAGCACGACGCGGCGGAGCGGAAGAGUCGGAGUCGGAGUCGGAGGAGCUCCUGCUUCUGCGGUGGGCCCGAUUGGGAGCGUUAAUUUAAAUUCAAAAAUUCUGAAAAAAAAAUUCAAAAAUUGGGACGAGGGAGGGCUAAAAAGCAAAUUCGAAGAACUUAAGGGGCCUGGUCUUUUUUUUUUUUUCAUUUUGUUAUAUUUUUCCUGUAUUUUACUUCCUGUUUUUAUUUAGUGGUCGUAAGAUUAGGAUGUGUAUUGAUUUGGUGGAAGCUUUGUGGUAGAAAUUUUCUCACGAAGCUUUCCUCAGGUGCAAAGUGUAAAAUAGAUUCCUUUCCUGUAGCCGCUGCAUGGUCGUUUAUUAGUUAUCACUUUAUGUAAACUUCAAAGCUCAUUGCACCAUUUUGGUGAAUUUUAGAUUUGAUCAUGGAUGAUGUGAAUCUUUUUUCUAUUUUGAUGUUUGUUUCUGUGGGUUGAUUUUAAGCUCAAAUUAACUACUACUCAUAAACUAUUUUAUAUAUAUAUAUAUAUAUAUAUAUAUAUAGAGAGAGAGAGAGAGAGAGAGAGAGAGAGAGAGAGAGAGAGAGAGCUAGGCUGGUAUACUAUCGGUAUCACAGAGGCCUCCGUACUACCAAUUUGUUUUCAGUGAUGCGGCUUCCAAAUCGACGAUCGGCUCCGUUAGACUUGAUCUAAAGGUUUCAAAAUUGACAAUUUUAAUGGUCGAUGUGAUCCGUUUGUGAAUUUUACAGUGUAAAACAAUUCAAAUCUGAUGAAAUUUUUAUAGAAAAUUUUUUUCAAUAUUUAGAGUAAGAUCAGUAGCUCUAAUCUUAAAUUCAAAGUAUUUUUUCAAACUAAAAUAAAUCAUCUUGUAUAUAAAAAUAUAUUCCUACAAAAUUAUGGAUCAAACUCUAACUUUCAAUUACAUAAAUAAUUUUCAUAUACUGAAU